rnacentral:lncRNA from 1 species
UCUUUUGGACAUGGUUUGUCCAUUAGAGCUUGGUCCCUUCUUGUAUUAGAAUGGUGUAAAUUCUAAUUUCCAGCCUUUAAACCUGUUGAUUUGGCCAAUAAAUAGCCAAAUCCGUAGGUAUCAGCUUAUAACAAAACAAACAAAUGACAAACAAAAUGAUUUAAAUAAAAGGAAAAGUUAUAUGUUCAAACAAAAGGUAAGAAUCUGACUUCAAAAAACUCAAAACUAGCCCUAAUGGAUAACUUUGCAGGAUUGAAACUCAUAAAACAUUCAGACAUAGAUCAACUUGCUCAUGCUCAAAAUCUAAACUCACAUGUUCAAGAUUCAACUAUAUUCAUAUCAUUAUUGGCUAAAUACUAUCAUAAAAGACAUUCAUUUGCACCAAACAUCAUUUACAUGCAACUGAUUUCACAUUUCUUUAACAACAAACAUUACAUGGGGAGAAUGAAGUUCAGUACCUUGCAUAACAGCAACAAAACAACAAAUAAAGGUGCAAAAACUGGCUGAAACUUUAACAAGAAAGAGCAGCAACAGGACAGGAGCCACAGUAGACCAAAACCCAAGUUUCAGACCCAAAAUCAAACACUUGAACCCAGAAAAUGACCAACUGAACCAAGAAAAUUCUUAUUUUAAACCAUUCCCAACUUGUAAAGAAUCGGAAACAAAAUGAGGAGUUUUGGGGUUUUAAGAUUUCUGAAAAAUAUGAUGUGAUUUCAGGAAUUUUGUGCAGAAUAUUAAAGCUGAAUCCAUAUGAAAAAUCUCUUUCUUUUCAGAAUGAGUGAGCCUAUAUAUAAGCUGCCUUAGGGAAGGUAUCUUUUAAGCAUAUUCCUUAUCCUAGGGAAUAAUAGUACUAUCCUUUUUUACAAUCUUUGGUACAACUGUCCUAUAUUUUAGCAUUGUUUAUAACAGCUAGGACAGCUGUACAUUUUCUAGAAAUUUCUGAUUUUCAGCUUAAGUAAAAAACCCUUUUUACCCUUUAGGUUACUAUUUCUUUCAACUUUAACCGAAACUUUUCCAAUUCAAACAUGUCCCUAAAGUUUCGAAUGGUUUUCAGGUUAGGACCAACACAAACAAACCUAAGGCAAAUAGAAAUCUAAAUCAAAAAUCCCAAAAGAAACAUAAAACUGCCACCUAUAAUUAAAAUCUAAAUUAUACCAUAAAAGAAGAAGUUCUCUAUGCAAAGGAAAAAGGAAAAGAGAUAACAUGAAGGCAAUAAAGGAAAACAAUAGUGGAUAAUUCCAACUCAUGCAAUGCUUAUAAUCAAUCAAAAUAAAUAGACAUGUGAAUGAAGUCUGAAACUACACCUAAACGGGCAACCAGCCAGAAAUGUAAUUAAGGGAAAAGAAAAGAAAUUAAAAAGAAAUCACGGGGGGAAAUAAGUAACCAACAGACUAAAACAUGAUUACUUCCUAAAUGAUAAAAAUGCAGAACAAAAACCUAAACAUGCAUCUAACAAAACUACUAAACAUGCAGAAGACAAACAAGGAUAAAAUUUAAAUGAACAGAAGAAAAGAAGAAGAUUUACCUAAAUUUGUUCCAAAAUUAGGUCAAAUUGGGAACUCGUCCAAAAAUCCUCCGAAAUGGACUUUGACUACCAUUAAUCGACUAUUUUUAAUAAGAGCAGUCGACUAAUGGAGGUUUUAAGUCCAUUCGACCAAACACAGAUCAAGAAGAGAAAAAAGGAAAAUUAGGGUUCUUCCGGAAUCACGAGAUUUAAAAUUCGAAGCACUCAAGGCUGAUUCGCAAGGGGCUAAUGGUGGUUUUGGGUUCAUAUGGGGGUAAGGAUCAUAGGGUGUAAUUUUUGUAAGAUUUGUAAUAACUAGGGUUUUGGUCGUGUCCUUCGAUUUAAGAUUCGAAGAAACCAGCAGUGAUUCGAGGGAAAGGGAUUGGAGAUUUUCAAUGGGGAGGUAAAGGGGAGUUCAUGGUGUUAUUUUGGGGGCGAUUGGACCACCAAAACCACCGUGUGAUUUCAGGUGGUGGUUUACGGUGGAGGCGGCGUGGAAUGUAAGGCGGCUAGGGUUUGGGUGAUUUACAGAGAGAGAUGGAGAGAGAAAGGGUCCAAUUGGGGGGGGGGGGUAUGGUUUUUGGACAGUUUUAUAAUUAUUGAGUUGUGAGUUUCGAGCCGUUGGAUGAUUAAAAUCCAACAACUGUGAUGUGGUUUUACCAAAACGGGGUCGUUUGGGGCAAGGGAAGGCUGGACCGGGUUUGGCAGGGAUUGGGCAAAAUUUGGGCUGAUUUGGGAGAUUAAAAUUUGUCCAAUUUAGAAAAUUAAUAAACUAAAAAUUAAAAGAUAAAAAAUAUAAAAAUGAGCUAUUUUUUGUGAUUUUCAAAUUUUAUAAAACAAAUAAUUACUGACUAAUUCUAAAAAAAUGUAAAACAAAAUCCUAAAUGCGUAUUUUUGGUAUUUUACAUGAUUUAAAUAAAAAUUAAACAUGCAUAGAAAAAUGCAAAUAAUUAAUAAAAUUCUACCAAAAUUCUUCAAAUGACAAAUAAUUAACAGAAAACUUAUUUUCCUUGGGAUUUUAUAGGAGUAUUUCGUCUAGGGAAAAAAUUACAUGCUCAUACCCAAAAUACUAGUAAGUAAAUUUUUAACUUAUUUCUUUCACUCCUUAACUUCUUUUAACAAGAUUUCAUCCUAGAAUCUAGGGUUUUCAUGAUAGAAUUGGGAAUUUUGGGUAAAACGUAAGAAUAUUGGAAUUUGGGGAUUUAGACCUCAAAUUAAGGUCGGAUUCCAAAACCAAUUAUAUGUCCAAGCUCGGGGGUGAAUGAGUAAUCGGGUUUUGGUCUGAAUUUUGGAUUUGGACCAAGCGGGCCCGGGGUCGAUUGUUCGUCUAUAUCCGGAAGAUUGUUCGUCUUCAUGGUGUGCCCGUGUCUAUCAUUUCAGACCGAGGUACAUAGUUUACCUCACAUUUCUGGAGAGGAGUUCAGCGGGAGUUGGGCACACGGGUCGAGUUCAGCACAACAUUUCAUCCUCAGACGAAUAAGCAAUCCGAGCGUACUAUUUAGAUUUUGGAGGAUAUGCUCCGAGAUUGUGUCAUUGACUUUGGAGGCUCGUGAGAUCAGUUUUUUCCUUCAGCGGAGUUUUCCUACAUCAACAGCUACCAGUCGAGCAUCCAGAUGGCUCCUUAUAAGACUUUAUAUGGCAGGCGGUGUCGGUCGCCGAUUGGAUGGUUUGAACCGGGAGAGGCUCACUUGUUAGGUACGAAUCUAGUACAAAGGGCCUUGGACAAGGUCAGGAUCAUUUAGGAUAGGCUUUGUACAACUCAGUCCAGGCAAAAGAGUUAUGCCGACCGUAAGGUUCGUGAUGUGGCAUUCAUGGUCGGCGAGCGGGUGUUGCUUCGAGUGUCACCUAUGAAGGGCGUGAUGAGAUUUGGGAAGAGGGGCAAGCUUAGCCCUAGGUUCAUUUGUCCUUUUGAGAUUCUUGAUCGAGUGGGAGAGGUGGCUUACAGAAUUGCAUUGCCGCCGAGUUUAUCAGUCGUGCAUCUAGUGUUUCACGUGUCCAUGCUUCGGAAAUAUCACAAUGACCUAUCCCAUGUGUUAGACUUCAGCACUGUCCAGUUGGACAAGGACUUGUUCUAUGAGGAGGAGCCGGUAGCAAUUCUAGACUGGCAGGUUCGUCAGUUGAGAUUGAAGAGUUUUCCUUCUGUUCGUGUUCAGUAGAGAGGUCAACCUGUUGAGGUAGUGACCUGGGAGUCCCAGUUCGAUAUGCGGAGCCGAUAUCCCCAUCUUUUCUCUGACUCAGAUACUUCCUUCUUAUGUUCAUUCGAGGGCUAACGGUUGAUUUAGAGAUGGAGAAUGUAAUGACCCAAAAGGUCAUCACUUGUUUUGGAAAUAAAUUCUAUGUUCGGAGGCCUUAAAACCUCCUUUUUGUCUCACCUUGAUUCGCGUGCGCAGUCCGGGCGUGUGUCCAGAAAGUCAUUAUGUGAAAAUCUAUGGAAAAUGAUAAAUUUUGAUUUUAAAAUGAAUUUAAGUUGACUUCGGUCAAUAUUUUGGGUAAACGGACCUGGGCACGUGAUUUGACAGUCCCGAAGGGUCCGUAGGAAAAUAUGGAACUUGGGCGUAUGCCCGGAAUCGAAUUCCGAGAUCCCAAGCCCGAGAAAUGAGUUUUUAAAGAAAAUUAUUUUCUAAAAUUUUAAGAGUUUUUGGAAAUGUGAAUGUAUUGGAAUUUAAUGGUAUCGGGCCCGUAUCUUGGUUCCGGAGCCCGGUACAUGUAUUUUAUGUUAUUUAAGUUGAGCCCGUAAAGUUUGGUAAAAAACAGACUUGAAAUGACGUGAAUCAGACCAUCGGUUGUUAAAAAUGGAACUUAGGAGUUCAUGAGAUUUCCUUUGAUUUUAAUGUUAAAUCCGUUGUUAAAGGUGUUAAUUUGGCGAUUUGAUCGCACAAGUAAGUUCAUAUAUGUUUUCGAGUUAGUAUGCACGUUUGGUUUGGAGCCCCAAGGGCUCGAGUGAGUUUCGAAUAGGUUUCGAGAUGUUUUUACACUUAAGAAAAGUUGCAGGUUCAGAGAAGUUGCAGGUCUCUGAAGCUAGGUCUCGCGGUACGCGGUGUAAUCUUCGCGACCGCGGUGGGAUUCAUGCUGUCCGCGAUGAGCAAAGCCAGGUCUUUGCGGCUGCGCUCGAUUUCUUGCAGUUCGCAGUGGAGCUCCGCAGCCUCAAUCCUUUUUGUGCGGUCCGCGGAGAGGGUUUAAGAGGAGUAUAUUUAAAAAGGAUUUUUAGUUAUUUUUCACUUUUCAAACCCUAAAACAUAAGAGGCGAUUUUCCAAAAACUCUUUAUUCUCCUAAAACACUAGUAAGUCGUUUUUAACUUAUUUCUUUCACUCCUUAACUUCUUUUAACAAGAUUUCAUCCUACAAUAUAGGGUUUUCAUGGUGGAAUUGGAAAUUUUGGGUAAAACCUAAGAAUAUUGGAAUUUGGGGAUUUAGACCUCAAAUCGUGGUCGGAUUCCAAAACCAAUUAUAUGUACGGGUUCGGGGGUGAAUGGGUAAUCGGGUUUGGUUUGAAUUUUGGAUUUGGACCAAGCGGGCCCAGGGUCGAUUUUUUUAACUUUUUGGGAAAAACACUAGAAAACCUAUUUUCAUGUAUUAGGAUUUGUUAUUUAGCAUUUAUUAAUGUUAUUAAGUAAAUUGUGGCUAGAUACGAGCGAGUUGGAAGUGGAACCAAGAGGUAAAGCGGUAGUUGAAGAUUGAUUGUGUUCGUGGCUUUGAGGUAAGUGUUUUGUCUAACUUUAGCUUGAGGGAUUAAGAGUUUAGUCUUAUUUGCUAUGUGUUAAUUGUUGAGUACGACAUAUAGGUAUGGUGAUGAGUAUCUAUACGUUGGUCUCAAGCAUGCCCGUGAGUCUAUACUAUGGUUAAUGUGACUCCAUUUUAUAUUAUUCAUGUUUUAUAUGAUGAUUUCUAUUGAGGAAUAUGAUUUGUGGAGGUAUUAUUGGUAAUUGAACAUUGUAGAGCGUUGGCUCAAGUCGAGAAAUGAAUUGUUAACAUUGUAGAGUGUUGGCUCAAGUUGUGAAUUGAAUUGUGAGGUAAAUGUGGAAAAGAGAAGAGGUUUAUGAUAUUAUCUCCCUUGCCGGGAUGUUAUUGCUUUUGGUAUUAUCUCCCUCAUCGGGACGUUAUUAUUCAUGAUAUUGUUUCCCUUGCCGGGAUAUUGUUAUUGUGCUAUUGUUCCCUUGCCGGGAUUUUAUUGUAAUCUUAUUGAUUCUCGUGACCUUAUUUCUUUGUGAUUGUUGUUUGGGUUAGGAGGAGUGUUAAAGCACAAAGGGUGAUGCCAUGCAUGACAUUUGUGAAAGAGUGUAAAGCACGAAGGGUGAUGCCGUGUAUGAUUUUGAGAGUGUUAAUGCACGAAGGGUGAUGUCGUGCCGCAUGAUGUACAAUUCCGUGCCGAUUUUAUUGAUUUUAUGGUGAGGACGAGAGUAAAAGCACGAAGAGUGAUGUCGUACAGAUUAUAUUGAUUAUUAUGGUGAGAACGAGUGUAAAAGUACGAAUGGUGAUGUCGUGCACUUGUCUUUUAUUUCUGAUUCUCGUUGGUAAUCGAACUUUGGUGAUCCUUAUAUUUAUCUGUUGUUCUUCUGUUAGUUUUUUUUAUGUUCCCCGUAGCAUGUUUCCCCUUUUCCCAUCCUUAACUGUAUAUUUCUGCCUUUAUUUCUGUUGUAUAUGAUUUAACUGCACAAGUUUAUUUGGUAGUCUGAUCCUAGCCUCAUCACUACUUCGCCUAGGUUAGGCUAGGCACUUACCAGCACAUGGGGUCGAUUGUGCUGAUACUACACUCUGCACUGUCUGCAUAUCCCCGUGCCUUAGCUUUUGGACCACAUAGAGGUUGCUACAUUUAGUCCAUUAGGCGACCCGAGGUAGUCCUGCAGGCGUCCGCAGGCUUUGGUGUCUCCUUCUGUCCUUCCAUAAUGUUUCUUUUAUGUAUUUCCGAAAUAACUUUGUAUUUAUCUUUCGGACCCCUAUUUGUAGUAUUCCUAGACGGUCUGUGAAGUUAUAAUACCAGUUCUGGUAGUUUUUAGUUUAUGGAUUUUUAUCGAUUUUAUAUUAAAUGGAUACAUUUCAUUCUUCCCCUUUAUUAUUUCCACUGAUUUUGCAAAUGUUAAUUCAUAACUACUAAAGGAUUUAAAAAUGAAAAAAGUAAAUAAUUGGAAUGGUUGGCUUGCCUAGCUUACACUAGUAGGCGCCAUCAUGACUCCCGAGGGUGGAAAAUUCAGGUCGUGACAAGUUGGUAUCAGAGCUCUAAGUUUCUUAGGUCUCACAAUUCAUAGACAAGCUUAGUAGAGUCUGAGGGAUCGGUACGGAGACGUUUGUAUUUAUCCCCAGAGGCUACAGAGUUAGGAAAAACUUCACAUCUAUUCUUUCCUGUCAUGCAGUUUGGUUUCUCAAUACUGAUUGAUUUCUACUUUGUUCUUUUGCAGAUGGCGAGAACACGCGCUUCCUCAUCCACUGAUCAGCAGCCCGAGUCCCCCAAUAGUAGCUCCCACAAGGGGCAGAGGGCAAAGCCGAGGCCGUGCUAGAGGCUGAGGCAGGGGCAGAGCUCAGCCAAAAACAGCAGCACCAGCGGCGGAGCCUUAGGUUGAGUUUGAUGAUGAGGUUCUGGCCCAAGCAGUUUCAGUGGGCCCAACUCAGGUCCUAGAGGGGUUCAUUGCUACCCAGUACUCUAUGAUGCUUUGGUCCUUUUAGUGGGCCUUAUGGAGAGUGUCACCCGGACAGGCUUACUUCUGGUAGCACCUGCCGUCUCUCAGGCCGGGGGAGGAGCACAGACUCCCACUACCCACACUCCGGAGCAGAUAGUUCCCCAGUUUCAGACUCCAGCAGCUUAGCCAGUUGGAGCAGUUUAGUCGGGUGUGGUAGCUCAGACCGGUGAUGGAGCAGCAAUGUCUGCUGAUUCCUUGUGGAGAUUGGACAUGUUUACCAAGCUCUUCACCACCACUUUCAGCAUUGCAUCUUCUAAGGAUCCCCAGGAUCAUUUAGACAUCUAUCAUGAGGUUCCCAGGAACAUGGGGAUAGUGGAAACCAAUGGGGUCGACUUUGCUACCUUUCGUUUGUCUGGUUCUGCCAAGACUUGGUGGAGAGAUUAUUGUUUGGAUAGGCCAGCUGGAUCACCAACUUUGACUUGGGAUCAGUUUUCUCAGCUAUUUUAGGAUAAGUUUCUUCCUAUCACUCAGAGGGAGAACUAUCGGAGGCAGUUUGAGCAUCUCCAAUAAGGUUCUAUGACUGUUACUCCGUAUUAGACCAGAUUUAUUGACUUGGACUAUCAUGCUCUUCUUAUACUUCCCACUGAGAGAGAGUGAAGAGGUUCAUUGAGGGACUCAUUUAGCCUAUUCGAUUGCAGAUGGCUAAGGAGACGGGGAACAAUUUUUCUUUUCAGGAUGCGGCCAAUGUGGCCAGUAGAGUUGAGAUGGUUCUAUCACGGGAGGGUGGUCAGGGGUAUGACAAGAGGCCUCGCCACUCGGGCAGAUUCAGUGGUGCCUCAUCUGGAGGCAGGGAUUCUUUUGGUAGGGGCCAUCCUCCCAGGCCGUUCCAUUCAGCACUUCAGGCUUCUCACGGUGCUCCAAGUGGUUGUGGUUCUCGUAUGCAGUAUUCUGAUCAGUUGCCAUACAGUGCACCACCAGCUCCUAUCAGUGCACCCUCCACUCUAGAGNNNNNNNNNNNNNNNNNNNNNNNNNNNNNNNNNNNNNNNNNNNNNNNNNNNNNNNNNNGUUAUCACCUUACCAUGCUAUCUUGGACUGUCAUGCCAAGACUGUGACCUUAGCCUUGCCGAGGUUGCCUCGUUUAGAGUGGAGAGGGACUCCUGGUCAUUCUACCCAUAGUGUUAUCUCGUAUAUGAAGGCUCGGCAAAUGGUCGAGAAUGGGUGUUUGGCCUAUUUGGCAUAUGUUCGUGAUUCUAGUGCUGGGGUUCCUUCUAUGGAUUUUGUGCAUGUAGUUCAUGAAUUUCCUGAUGUAUUUCCUUCAGACCUGCUGGGUAUGCCACCUGACAGGGAUAUUAACUUCUACAUUGAUUUGGCUCCGGGCACUCAGCCCAUUUCUAUUCCGCCGUAUCGUAUGGCCCCGCCUUAGUUGAAAGAAUUGAAGGAGCAGUUGCAAGACUUUCUUGAUAAAGUCUUCAUUAGACCUAGUGUCUCGCCUUGGGGUGCACCAGUGUUGUUUUUAAGAAGAAGGACGGAUCGAUGAGGAUGUGUAUAGAUUACUGGCAAUUGAAUAAGGUUACAAUCAAGAAUAAGUAUCUGUUGUCGAGGAUUGAUGAUUUGUUUGAUCAGAUUCAGGGUGCCAAGGUAUUUUCGAAGAUUGACUUGAGAUCUGGCUACCAUCAGCUGAGGAUUAGGGAAUCCAACCUCCCCAAGACAGCUUUCCGCACUCGGUACGAGCAUUAUGAGUUCUUGGCGAUGUCAUUUGGGUUGACCAAUGCCCAAGCAGCUUUUAUGGAUUUGAUGAACCGAGUGUUUAGGCCUUACUUGGAUUCGUUUUUGAUAGUCUUCAUUGAUGAUAUUUUGAUCUAUUCCCGCAGCCGGGAGAAGCAUGAGCAUCAUCUGAAAGUGGUUAUUCAGACUUUGAAAGAUAGUCAGUUGUAUGCUAAGUUUUCGAAGUGUGAGUUCUGGUUGAGUUUGGUUGCAUUCUUGGGUCAUGUAGUUUCAGCAGAGGGUAUUCAGGCAUAUCUCAAGAAGAUAGAGGCAGUCAAGAACUGUCCUAGACCCGCAUCAGCUACAGAGAUUCGGAGUUUCUUGGGUUUGGCAGGCUACUACCGUCACUUUUUGGAGGGGCUUUUGUCUAUUGCAGUCCCGAUGACCAGGUUGACCUAGAAGAGUGCCCAAUUCAGGUGGUGGGACGAGCGUGAGGCGAGCUUUCAGAAGCUCAAGACAGCUUUGACUAUGGCACCGAUGUUGAUUUUGCCCACAGGUUAAGGGCCAUUUAUAGUUUAUUGUGAUGCAUCUCGUAUUGGACUUGGUGUGGUAUUGAUGCAGGAUGGAAAGGUCAUUGCUUAUGCUUUCCGGAAGUUGAAGAUUCAUGAGAAGAACUAUCCAGUCCAUGAUUUGGAGUUAGCAGUCAUUGUUCAUGCAUUGAAGAUCUAGAGGCACGACCUGUAUGGCGUGUCAUGUGAGGUGUUCACGGAUCACAAGAGUCUGCAAUAUUUGUUCAAGCAGAAGGAGCUAAAUUUGAGGCAGAGAAGGUGGUUGGAGCUAUUGAAAGACUAUGAUAUCACCAUCUUAUAUCAUCCGGGGAAGGCCAUUGUUGUGGCGGAUGCUUUGAGUAGGAAGUCAGCCAGUAUGGGUAGUCUUGCGUAUAUUCUGGACGGUGAGACACUGCUUGCUUUGGAUGUUAAAGCUUUGGCCAAUCAAUUCGUGAGGUCGGAUGUUUCUGAGCCCAGCCGGGUGUUGGCUUGCAUAGUUGCUCGUUCUUCUUUAUUGGAGAGUAUUUGAGAUCGGCAGUAUGAUGAUCCUCAUUUGUAUGUCCUUAGGGACACGGUGCAACACGGUGGUGCUAAGUAGGUUACUUUGGGAGAUGAUGGAGCUUUGAGGCUGCAUGGUCGAGUUUGUGUACCUAAUGUGGAUGGGCUUCAAGAGUUGAUUUUAGAGGAGGCCCAUAGUUCCCGGUACUCUAUUCAUUCAAGCGCCGCUAAGAUGUAUCAGGAUUUGCGGCAGCAUUAUUGGUGGAGGAGGAUGAAGAAGGAUAUUGUUGCAUAUGUGGCUCGAUGUUUGAAUUGUUAACAGGUUAAGUACGAUCAUCAGAGACCUGGUGGUUUGUUCCAGAAGAAUGAUAUUCCUGAGUGGAAGUGGGAGCGUAUCACUAUGGACUUCGUUGUUGGACUCCCACGAACUCAGAGGAAAUUCGAUGUAGUGCGAGUUAUUGUUGAUAGGCUGACUAAGUCAGCACAUUUCAUUCCUGUAGCAGUCUCCUAUUCUUCCGAGAAGUUAGCUGAGAUCUAUAUCUGAGAGAUUGUUCAUCUUCAUGAUGUGCCCGUGUCUAUUUCGGAUCGAGGUACGUAGUUUACCUUGCAUUUCUAGAGAGCAGUUUAGCGUGAGUUGGGCACACGAGUUGAGUUGAGCACAGCGUUUCAUCCUCAGACGAACGGGCAGUCUGAGUGUACUAUUUAGAUUUUGGAGGAUAUGCUCCGAGCUUGUGUCAAUGACUUUGGAGGCUCAUAGGAUCAGUUCUUGCCUUUAGCGGAGCUUGCCUACAACAACGGCUACAAGUCGAGUAUCCAAAUGGAUCCUUAUGAGGCUUUAUAUGGUAGGUGGUGUCGGUCGCCGGUUGGAUGGUUUGAGCUGGGAGAGGCUCGGUUGUUGGGUACGGAUCUAGUACAGGAAGCCUUGGAUAAGGUCAGGAUUAAUCAGGAUAGGCUUCGUACAGCUCAGUCUAGGAAAAAGAGUUAUGCUGAUCGUAAGGUUCACGAUGUGGCAUUCAUGGCCGGCGAGCGGGUGUUGCCUAUAAAGGGCGUGAUGAGAUUUGGGAAGAGGGGCAAGCUUAGCCCUAUAUUCAUUGGCCCGUUUGAGAUUCUUGAUCGAGUGGGAGAGGUGGCUUACAGACUUGUGUUGCCGCCGAGCUUAUCAGCCAUGCAUCUAGUGUUUCAUGUGUCUAUGCUUCGGAAGUAUCACGGCUAUCCAUCCCACGUGUUAGACUUCGACAUUGUCCUGUUGGAAAAGGACUUGUCCUAUGAGGAGGAGCCAGUAGCUAUUCUAGACCGGCAGGUUCGUCAGUUGAGAUCGAAGAGUUUUCCUUUUGUUCGUGUUCAAUAGAGAGGUCAACCUGUUGAGGCAGCGACCUGGGAGUCCGAGUCCGAUAUGCAAAGUCGAUAUCCCCAUCUUUUAUCCGACUCAAGUACUUUUUUCUUAUGUCCGUUCGAGGACGAACAAUUAUUUUAAAGGUGGAGAAUGUGAUGACCCAAAAGAUCAUCACUUGUUUUGGAAAUAAAUUCUAUGUUCCGAGGCCUUAAAACCUUCUUUUUGUCUCACCUUGAUUUGCGUGCACAGUGCAGGCGUGUGUCCGAAAAGUCAUUAUGUGAAAAUCUAUGGAAAAUGAUAAAUUUUGCUUUUAAAAUGAAUUUCAUUGACUUUGGUCAAUAUUUUGGGUAAACGGACCCGGACCAGUGAUUUGAAGGUCCCGGAGUGUCCGUAGGAAAAUAUGGGACUUUGGCGUAUGCCCAUAAUUGAAUUCCGAGAUCCCAAGUCCGAGAAAUGAGUUUUUAAAUAAAUUUGUUCUAUGAAAUUUUAAGAGUUUUUGGAAAUGUAGAUGUAUUGGAAUUUGAUGGUAUCGGGCCCGUAUCUUGGUUCCGGAGCCCGGUACAGGUCUCAUAUGUUAUUUAAGUUGAUCCCGUAAAGUUUGGUAAGAAACGGACUUGAAAUGACGUGAAUCGGACCCUCGGUUGUAAAAAAUGGAACUUAAGAGUUCAUGAAGUUUUUCUUUGAUUUUGAUGAUAAAUUCGUUGUUAAAGGUGUUAAUUUGGCGAUUUGAUUGCACGAGUAAGUCCAUACAUGUUUUCGAGUUAGUAUGCGCGUUUGGUUUGGAGCCCCAAGGGCUCGGGUGAGUUUCGGAUAGGUUUCGGGAUAUUUUUACACUUAAGUUGCAGGUUCAGAGAAGUUGCAGGUCUCUAAAGCUCGGUCUUGUGGUCCGCGGUGGAAUCUUCGCGACUGUGGUGGAGUCUUCGCGACCGCGGUGGGAUUUAUGCGGUCCGCGAUGAGCAAGGCUAGGUCUUCGCAGCCGCGCUCGAUUUCUUGUGGUCCGCCAUGGAGCUCCGCGGCCGCAGUGCUUUUUAUGCGGUCCGUGGAGAGGGUUUGAGAGAAGUAUAUUUAAACGGGACUUUAAGUUAUUUUUCACUUUUCAAAACCCUAAAACAUAAGAGGCGAUUUUCCAAACACUCUUUAUUCUCCCAAAACACUAGUAAGUGCUUUUUAACUUAUUUCUUUCACUCCUUAACUUCUUUUAACAAGAUUUCAUCCUAGAAUCUAGGGUUUUCAUGGUGGAAUUGGUAAUUUUGGGUAAAACCUAAGAAUGUUGGAAUUGGGGGAUUUAGACCUCAAAUUGAGGUCGGAUUCCAAAACCAAUUAUAUGUCUGGGCUCGGGGGUGAAUGAGUAAUCGUAUUUUGUUCCUAAUUUUGGAUUUGGACCAAGCGGGCCUAGGGUCGAUUUUUUUAACUUUUUGAGGAAAUAUUGGAAAACUUAUUUUCAUGCAUUAGAAUUGAUUCAUUUAGCAUGUAUUGAUAUUGUUAAGUAAAUUUUGGCUAGAUACAAGCGAAUUGGUGGUGGAAACAAGAUAUAAAGUAGUACUUGAGGCUUGAAUUGUGUUCGCGGCAUCGAGGUAUGUGUUUGGUCUAACCUUCGCUUGAGGGAUUAGGAGUCGUGACUUAUUUGCUAUGUCUUAAUUUUUGAGUACGAUGUAUAUGUAUGGUGACGAGUAUCUAAAUAUUGGUGUCAAGCAUGCUCGUGAGUCUUAUACUAUUAUUAAUGUGACUGUGUUUCAUAUUGUUCAUGCUUUAUGUAUUGAUUUCUAUUGAUGAACAAGACUUGUGAAAGUAUUAUUGGUAAUUGAGCAUUGAAGAGAGUUGUCUAAAGUUGUAAAAUGAUUUGUGGAAGUAUUAAUGGCAGUUCAACAUUUUAGAGUGUUGGCUCAAGUUGUGAAGUAAAUGUGGAAAAGAUAAGAGGUUUAUGAUAUUAUCUCCCUUGUCGGGACGUUAAUAUUCAUGAUAUUGUUUUCCUUUGCCGGGAUAUUGUUGUUAUGCUAUUGUUCCCUUGCUGGGACUUUAUGUAAAUAUUAUUGAUUCCCUUGCGCAAAUUGUUUGUGAUUAUUGCUUGGGUGAGGAAGAGUGUUAAAGCACGAAGGGUGAUGCCGUGUAUGAUUUUGAGAGUGUUAAUGCACGAAGGGUGAUGCUGUACCAAUAUUGUGAGGUAAAAGCAUGAAGGGUGAUGUCAUGUUGCACGAUGUACAAUUCCGUGCCGAUUAUAUUGAUUUAUAUGGUGAGGAAGAGAGUAAAAGCACGAAGGGUGAUGCCGUGCAGAUUUAUUGAUUCUUAUGGUGAGGACGAGAGUAAAAGCACGAAGGGUGAUGCCGUGCACUUGUCUUUCAUUUCUGAUUCUUGUAGGUAAUUGAACUUUGGUGAUCCUUAUAGUUAUCUGUUUGUCCUUCUAUUAUUAUUUGAGGUUCCCCGCAGCAUGUUUUCCCCCUCCCCUUCUUAACUGUACUUUCCUGCUUUUAUUUUCCGUUGCAUAUGAUUUAACUGCACAGGUUUAUUUGGUAGCAUGGUCCUAGCCUUGUCACUACUUCGCCGAGGUUAAGCUAGGCACUUACCAGCACAUGGGGUCGGUUGUGCUGAUACUACACUCCGCACUAUGUGUAGAUCCCGGUGACGCCGCUUUUGGACCAUAGUGAGGGUGCUGUCUUCAGUCCAUUCAGGCGACCCGAGGUAGUCCUGCAGGCGUCCGCAGGCCCUGACGUCUCCUUCUAUCUUUCUAUAUUUUUCCUCUAUGUAUUUCUGAAAUAGCUUGUAUUUACCUUUCGUACUCAUAUUUGUACUACUCUUAGACAGUCUGUGUAACUAUGACACCAAAUUUUGGGUAGAGUUAUACUUAGAUUUUCGCAGUUUGUAUUAAUAUAAAUUAUCAAAUUUCGUCUUCCGUACUAUUUUUAUUAUUAUUAAUUCCACCGCUUUUGUUAUGUUGUUUUGAAAUUGCUAAGAGAUUAAGAAUGAACAUGGUAAAUAAUUGGACUAAUUGGCUUGCCUAGCUUUCACUAGUAGGCGUCAUCACGACUCCCGAGGGUGAAAAAUUCGGGUCGUGACAGAAAGAUGCAAUGAUGAUAGUAAAAUUAAAGACUCGUAUAGGAUGUGUAUCUCCUAUGAGAUUGAGCUUAAGAAAAACUAUAAACUGAGCUUGACUAAACUAAAAAUUGAUCCUAUUCUCCAGGCAGGACCCCUGAACUCAAGAAAAACUAGAGAGUAAAAACUUAAGAAAACUAACAACUGACUCUAUUCUCUAGGCGGGACCCCUGAACUUUAAGAAAAACUAUAGACUAACAAUUAAAGGAAACCAAACACUAACCUUAUUCUCCAGGCGAGACCCCUGACCUAAAGGAAUGCUAAAGAUUGAUAACUUAAGAAAACUAAAACUGAUAACUUAGGAGAAACUUUGAAGUGACCCUAUUUUCCAGGGGGGACCCUGAACUUAAGGAAAGCUAAAGAUUAAUAACUUGAGGAAACUAAAACUGACCCUAUUUUCCAGGCGGGACCCUUGAACUCAAGGAAAACUAAAGAUUAAGAACUUAAGAAAACUAAAAUUGGCAUUAUUCUCCAGGAGGGACCCCUGCAUUCAAGAAAAAAUAAAGAUUAACAACUUAAGAAAACUAAAAGCUGACCCUAUUCUCUAGGCAGGACCCCUGAAAUCAAGUAAAACUAAAGACUAAUAACUUAAGGAAAAUAAAAAUUGACCCUAUUCUCUAGGUGGGACCCCUGAACUAAAGGAAUGCAAAAUAAUGGAAACUUAAGAAAACUAAAACUGACAACUUUGGAGAAACUUAGAAAUGACCCUAUUUUCCAGAGGGGACUUUGAACUUAAGGAAAGCUAAAGAUUAAUAACUUGAGAAAACUAAAACUGACCCUAUUUUCCAGGCGGGACUCCUGAACUUAAGAAAAACUAAAGACUCUUCUGAUUUAGGAGAAUGCUUAGGAGGUAUGGUUCUUUUCAACUAGGAAAAAUGCCUAGGAGGUGAUGGUCUUCUCAACUAGGAGAAUGUCUAUGAGAUAAAAACAUUCUCAAACAGCCUUUGUGCUGACAAAAUUUGGGCACGACACCCGAAAGAUUUAAGCUUCCAAGCUUUGAUUUGGACAUAGUCUUCGUCCCUUUUCAAACAAAGAAAACUUGUGAGUUUAAAACAUGGUGGUUGGUUUGUGGCCUUGACCUUAAGGGCGAUUGCUCCUUCACUUUCGAUGAUAACUUUGAUUUCAACUUGGAAGACUUUGCUUGUUAUUGACUACCCAUUUUUUGUCAACUAUUAUCACAAAAAACACCUCUGAACCGUUCAAGCCCAAUACCAUCUAUCUCUUGCAUUGUUCUCAUGAAUUGACAUUUACCAAACUUUUGAAUUUCACAUGAAUUCCAAAGCACGUCAAUUAACUUGGUGUGCAUACUACUCUUUCCUGACUUAUGCCACUUUGAUGUGCUAGCCAGACUCUGCUUUGUGCAAUUGGAAAACUAAUAGCAAAUUUUAAAUCAUUUCUCACUUGUUCUAACAAAACAGACUAAAAAAGAGGACUUAAACAAAGAAAGAGGAACAUAGUAAGGGGACAAUGGAAAGAGAUGAUGUCUAACAAGAAAAUUACCAAGUAGAAACUUAUCUGACGUGGAUACCAACUCCAAUGACCAUGACAUGUAUUUUGAAUUAAGCGGCCUAAUCUCUCAAACAAGUCUAAUGUUAAACUCUUGUUAUACCUCUAAGCCGCGAAAUUGGGCUUCAAUGCUUCAAUUAUCCUAUCUGAUUCACGAUCCUUAUUCGACUUGUAGUGCCCGAAGGGUUUCACCAUCAAGCCUCUCUCAUUUUGUUCUUUCUCUCAACUCACCGUCGCCUUAUGGUGCCUGUGAAGGAUUUCACCAAUAAAAUUAUCAUUUUGUUCUUUUCUUCUUAUUUUCUCUAGUUCUGCAGAUUACAAGGUAUUAACCAUGGUAAAAAUAUCAUAUGUUCCUGUCAUGUCUAACUUGGCACUUUCAAAGUGUAUCUGGAAAAUCUAUUUUGGGCGGUAAUGUGCCUGUUGAACAGGGUUAGACAGAAAGAAAGGCAUGAAGGCUCAAAUUCGAACUAAGACAAAAUGAGGUAUAACCUUACAACUUUUGGAACCGUCUUUUAUAGAAAACAAAACUCCUGCCCCAGUUUCUUUUGAUGUGAGGAAUUUUUCGAAUAGUCAAAACACCCUCGGAUUCAAGCCUAAGAUUUCCAAAACUUCCGAAUUCCGCAAACAAUCAAAAAGUCUAUCAAACCACCUCCGAAUGACCUGAAAUUUUGCACACACGUUACAAAAUGACACAACGGACCUACUCCAAUCUCUGAAAUUCCAUUCCGACCCCGAUAUAAAAAUUUCCACUACCAACCGGAAAGCGUCAAAUUCUAACUUCGCCAGUUCAAGCCUAAAUCUACCACGGACCUCCAACUUACAUUCCGAUCACGCUCCUGAGUCCCAAAUUACCUAACAAAGGUAUCUGAACCAUCACAUCCAAGCCCUUUUUCACAUAAGUCAACGUCCGGUUGACUUUUCCAACUCAAGCUUACUCAAAAUAGACUAAGUGUCGCAAACCUCUCCAAAACCACUCCGAAGCCAAACCAACUAACCUGAUACCACAUAAUACAGCUGCACAGGACAUAAAGAAGUAGAAAUGGGGAAAACAGAGUAGUAACUCAUGAAACGACCGGCCGAGCCGUUACAUCAUCCCCCUCUUAAACAAACGUUCAUCCUCGAACGAGUCAAGAAACAUACCCGAAACCUCAAAUAGGUGAGGAUAUCUGCUCUGCAUCUCCCGCUCGGUCUCCCAGGUAGCCUUCUCCAUGGGCUGACCUCUCUACUGCACUUUCACUGAAGCUAUAUCCUUUGAUCUCAACUUUCGAACCUGACGCCCCAAAAUAGCCACUGGCUCCACAUCAUAAGUCAAAUCACCAUCCAACUGAACAGUGCUGAAAUCCAAAACAUGGGACGGAUCGCCAAUAUACUUCCGGAGCAUAGAAACAUGAAAUACCAGAUGUACACUCGACAAGGUGGAUGGCAAAGUAAGCUCAUAAGCUACCUCCCCAAUCCCUUGAAGCACCUCAAAAGGCCCAAUGAACCAAGGACUCAAUUUACCAUUCUUCCCAAAUAUCACAACACCCUUCAUGGGUGAAACCUUCAAUAGAACCUUAUCCCCAACCAUGUAGGACACAUCACGGACCUUCCUGGCAGUAUAACUUUUUUGUCUCGACUGUGCUAUACGAAGUCGCUCCUGAAUCACCUUCACCUUGUCCAAAGCGUCCUGCACCAAGUCUGUACCCAAAAGUCGAGGCUCACCCGGCUUAAACCAACCAACUGGAGAUCUACAUUAUCUCCCAUACAAAGCCUCAUAUGGAGUCAUCUGAAUACUCGACUGAUAACUAUUGUUGUAAGAAAACUCUGCAAGUGGUAUAGAUUAAUCCCAUGACCCUCCAAAAUCAAUGACACAAACGUGCAACAUGUCCUCCAAUAUCUUAAUAGUGCGAUCAGACUGCCUGUCCGUCUGAGGGUGAAAAGCUAUGCUCACCUCAACCUGAGUACCCAACUCUCCUUGCACGGCUCUCCAAAACUGCAAAGUAAAUUGAGUACCUCUAUCUGAAAUGAUGGAAACUGGACACAAUGAAAGCGAACAUCUGUCGAAUAUAGAUAUCUGCCAGCCGCUUUGAAGAAUAGGUAAUAUCAUAUGAAUGAAGUGCACGAACUUGGUCAGUCGAUCCAUAAUCACCCAAAUAGCAUCAAACUUCUUCAAGGUUUGAAGGGAUCUAACUACAAAGUCCAUGGUGAUCCGCUCCCACUUCCACUCCGGUAUCAAUCUGCUGAAGCAAGCCACCCGAUCUCUGAUGCUCAUAUUUCACAUGCUGAGAAUUGAGAUACCAAGCUACAAAUUCCACAAUAUCCUUCUUCACUCUUCUUUACCAGUAAUGUUGUCUCAAAUCCUGAUACAUCUUCGCGGCACUCAGAUGGAUGGAAUACCGCGAGCUAUAGGCCUCUACGAAGAUCAACUCCCGAAGCUCAUCCAUAUUGGGCACGCAUAUUCGCCCCUGCAUCCUCAACACCCCAUCAUCACCAAUAGUCACAUCUCUAAAAUCGUCGUGCUGAACUAUGUCCUUAAGGACAAGCAAAUGAGGAUCAUCAUACUGGUGCUCUCUAAUGCGAUCAAAUAAGGAAGACCGAGAAAUCACACAAGCCAAUACCCGACUAGGAUCCGAAAUAUCCAACCUCAUGAACCGAUUGACCAAGGCCUGAACAUCAACUGCAAGAGGUCUCUCCCCAACAGGAAUAAAUGCAAGACUACCCAUACUCACCGCUUUCUUACUCAAGGCAUCGGCCACUACAUUUGCUUUCCCCGGAUGGUACAAGAUAAUGAUAUCAUAGUGCUUUAGCAACUCCAACCAUCUGUGCUGCCUCAAAUUGAUAUCCUUCUAUUUGAACAAGUAUUGGAGGGUACGAUGAUCAGUAAACGCCUCACAAGACACACCAUACAAAUAAUGUCUCCAAAUCUUGAACGCAUGAACAAUGGCAGCACACUCCAAAUAAUGAAUGGGGUAGUUCCUCUCAUGGGGCCUCAACUGACGAGAAGCAUAAACAAUAACUCUACCCUCUUGCAUCAACACACCCAAUACAAACUCUCGAAGCAUCACAAUACACUAAAUAAGAACCUGAAGCUGAUGGCAACACUAACACUGGAGCUAUGGUCAAGGCGGUCUUGAGCUUCUGAAAGCUCGCCUCACACUCAUCCAACCACGUGAAUGGAGCACCCUUCUAAGUCAACUUGGUCAAAGGUUUUGCUAUAGAUGAAAAUCCCUGAAUGAACUAGCAGCAAUAACCCGCCAAACCAAGAAAUCAACGAAUCUCUGUGGCUGAGGACGGUCUGGGCCAACUCUGAACCGCUUCUAUCUUCUUCGAAUCAACCUGAAUAUUGUCACUGGACACCACGUGCCCCAAAAAAGCCACUAAACUGAGCCAAAACUCACAUUUGGAGAACUUUGCAUAAAGUUUCUCCUCCCUCAAUCUCUGCAACACAACCCUGAAAUGCUCUGCGUGGUCCUCCUGACUACAUGAAUAUACCAGAAUAUCAUCAAUGAAAACAAUCACGAACGAGUCGAGAUAGGGCCGAAACACGCUGUUCAUCAAAUGCAUGAAAGCUGCUGGGGCAUUGGUCUGCCCAAAAGACAUCACAAGGAACUCAUAAUGACCAUAUCGGGUCCUGAAAGUUGUUUUAAGAAUAUCUGAAUCCCUGAUCUUCAGCUGGUGAUACCUUGAACAUAGAUCAAUCUUAGAGAACACCCUCACUCCCUGAAGCUGGUCAAAUAAAUCAUCAAUACGAGGCAAAGGAUACUUGUUCUUGAUUGUGACCUUGUUCAACUGCCUGUAAUCAAUGCACAUCCUUAUAGAUCCAUCCUUCUUUUUCACAAAUAGGAUAGACGCACCCCACGGUGACACACUAGGCCGAAUAAACCCCUUAUCAAGGAGUUCCUAAAGUUUCUCCUUCAAUUCUUUCAACUCCGUCGGUGCCAUAGGAUACAGUGGAAUAGAAAUGGGCUGCGUGCCCAGCACCAAAUGAAUACCAAAGUCAAUAUCCCUGUCCGGCGGCAUGCUCGACAGGUCUGCAGGAAACACAUCUAGAAAAUCCCUCACUACAGGAAUAGAAUUAAUACUAGGAGUCUCUGCACUGACAUCCCUCACAAAGGCCAAGUAUGAAAGACAACCAUUCCCAACCAUCUACUGGGCCUUCAUAAAUGAAAUCACCCUACUGGGAUCAUACUCAGUCGAACCUCGCCACUCAAUCCGUGGCAACCCCGGCAUAGCCAACAUCACUGUCUUAGCAUGACAAUCUAAAAUAGCAUGACACGGAGAUAACCAAUCUAUGCCCAAUAUCACGUCAAAACCAACCAUACUAAGCAACAAGAGGUCCACUCGGGUAUCCAAACUCCCAAUAGUUACUACACAUGAUUGAUAUACAUGGUCCACAAUGAUAGUAUCGCCCACCAGAGUAGAUACAUGAACAGAUGAAACAAGAGACUCGCAGGGCAUAUCCAAAUAAUGGGAAAAAUAUGAUGACACAACAUCUGAAGCAAUAGCAUCUGGUCUGGCCGGGAGGCCAUAAAAAUGGGCCUGACCACCACCUAGAGCUGAUUGAGCGGGUAGGGAGGUAAUUGGUGCUGAAGCCGAAAGCUGACUCCUCUACUGGGAUGAACCUCCCAUAAGAUGGGGACAAAACCUCUUGAUAUGACUAAAUCUCCACACUCAAAGCAGCCCCUCGCAGCAAGUGGCGGUGGGGACUAAAGGGAGCCCCACGUACCGAAAUGCCCACUAAAAGAACCAGGCAUAGAUGAACCCUAAACUGAUGGUGCCUGAGUCAAACUCUGACCUAGAAGGGCACUGAGAGACGAGUGACCCUGAUGUGAAUUGUGAGAACAAUGGCUAGAUGACCUACCACGGUGACCUGAAGGGGCUGGCUGAGCAUGUCUAAUGGACGGCCUCUGCCGUGCUGAGACUGACCUCCCGAAGGAAUACCACUGAAGCUACUAGAUCCCUAGGACCUCUUAGCCUCCCUGUCAUCCCGCUCUUGGCAGCGAACUAACUCCAUCUCUCUAGCAAUGUCAAUUACCUUCUCAAAAGAAGUGCCAGAUACUCGCUCUCUAGUCAGAAAAACUUGUAACUGAUAGUUGAGGCACUCAACAAACCUCCUAAUCCUCUCCCUAUCUGUGGGAACUAGCCAGAUAGCAUGAUGGGCCAACUCGGAGAACCUCAUUUCAUAUUGCGAUACGGUCAUAUACCCCUGACGCAGCUGCUCGAACUGCCUGCGCAGCUCCUCUCUGCGGGAAUGCGGUACAUAUUUCUCUAGGAAAAGAAUGGAGAACUGAUGUCAGGUAAGGGGUGGUGCACCAAUAGGCCUACACCUCUCAUAAGCCUCCCACCAAGUGAAGGUAGCUCCAGAAAACUGAAAAGUAGUAAAUGAGACUCCACUAAUAUCCAGAAUACCCGUUGUACGCAACAUCCUCUGACACUUAUCCAAGAAACCCUAGGCCCCUCUGCGCUGCUGAAAGUCGGAGGCUGAAGUCUACCAAACCUCUCCAAUCGACGCUGCUCGUCAUCAGGCAUAAUUGGAACCACAAAAUCCUGAAUAGGUGCAACCGGCUGGGCUGGUGGUGCCUCCUGUGUCUGGAGUCCCUAAACAACCUACUCAGGUGUAUGGGCGGCAAGAGUCUGAGUGCCUCCCCCAGCCUGAGAGGUAGCUACUGUAGUAGGAACUGUGACUGCCUGAGCAAGACUGGUGCACACAGUCAGAAUCUAAGCCAAAGUCUCUUGGAGACUCAGAAUAAGAAUAGGCACAGUCGGUGCCUGAGCUGGUGUUGUUGGAGCAUCCCUCAUUGGAGAAUGAUCAUGAACUGUGGUGGCGGGUGGAUCUGCAAGUGUUGCCCUAGCUACUGUGCAGGACACACCCCUUCCCCUACCACGACCUCGGCCCCAACUUGUGGUACUGGUAGUCAUCCAUCCUGACCAGUAGCACAUGUCCUCACCAUAUGUGAGAGAGUAGAAUAACAGAAGUUUAGUAAGAGGAUCAACAGAUUCGCACGACAAGAAUUCAAGAAUAUGAAGUGUUCAUAGAGGUUUUGCAGCCUCCCGAGGAUAAAUACAAAUGUCUCUGUACCGAUCCGCGAGACUCUACUAAACCUUCUUAUGAAUCGUGAGACCUAUGUAACCUAAGCUCUGAUAUCAACAUGUCACGACCCAAAAUUUAACCAUGUCAUGAUGGCGCCUAUCAUGAUAUUAGGCUGGCCACUUAUUUCCAAAUACUCCAUUUUUCAAAUAAAAACUUAAGAAAAUCAUAAUUUAAUAGAAAUUCAAUAAGAUAAAAGUAGAAAUCAAUAUCCAGCGAUAAGAAAUACAAUCCCGGCCUCGGGUGUCACUAAGUCAUGAGCUAAAACUAUUACAUCUAUUCGAAAUAACAUGACCAACAUGGUCUGAGAAUAUCCAAAUAAAUACACUAAUGGAAGAUAAGGAAAGGAGAAGGCAGAACUGCGGUCGCCAAGCAGCUACCUCGCAAUCUCCAUAGAAAGUCUCCAACUGGUAUGGUCAACAACCGUUGUCGUACCCCGAGAUACCUGGAUCUGCACACAGGGGUGUAGUGAGUAACGUGAGUACACCAGCUCAGUAAGUAACAAGUCCAAACUAUGGACUGACGGUAGUGACGAACCAAACCUCAACAGGUUGCAACAGUGAAUUGUACGGAAAAGUAGACAUGCUUACAGUUCAUGUAUUUUCUCAGUAGUAAUUAAACAUAGUAUGAACGAUAUAGAGUAUAAAGCUCAGGAACCUCUAAGUACCAAUGCACAGAUAGCAUGAUCAAUGUUACGUAUAAUACUUCAAAUCACAAUUUUCAACCACUCGGUAUUGUAUAUGGCCCAUUGGGCCCCGAGAAGAUCCAUCCCGGAAUAUAUAUACAUUACACACUAUAAGUCACCCAGUUCCGAGGAAACAGGCCAAUCUAGCCUCAUGGAGAAGAUCCAUCUUCAUACCAAUACUUCGGACAAGAUCCAUGUCCAGGGAAGAUCCAUCCCUCAAUAUCAUCAACUGCGCUCACUGGGGGUGUAAAGACUCUGGAGGGGCUUCUCUUAGCCCAAGCGCUAUAUCAAUUCCAGCGAAGGCAUGAUCAAUAUCUCGCUGCAACGUGCAGCCCAAUCCCAUACUGUCAAUCAAUAUCAGGCUCUCGGCCUCACUCAGUCAAUACUCUCCAAUGUCAUACACAUGGGCUAAAUUGUCAUGAUACAAGCCCAAACAAUGAUAUGAUAUGUCAAAUAGCAAUAAUCGAGACUGAGGCAUGAUAUAAUAUGCAUGAACAUGACUUAGUAUAGAAUAUAAGUGAAGCAAAUGACAUGACAGCAAGAAACGACCUCUCAGGUCUCAACAAUGUUAGCAUGAAGCCUUAACAUGAUGAUUAGCAUGAUUUGUUGCUCAUUAACUUGAUCACAUAACCACAACACAGAUAUCAGCAAAAAAGAGUCACUAAGCGGUGGCACGAAAUGAUGCAGGCUGCAUUCCUCACGAUGCACACCCACUCGCCCGUCACUUGGCAUUGUGUCACCUCAAUAGUAAUCAUAGAACACAGUUCGGGGUUUAGAACCCUCAGAACCAAGUUUGGAAGCGUUACUUACCUUAAGCCAAGCCAAACUCUAGCCCUCGAUGCCUUUUCCUCUCGAUUCGGCGUCCAAGUGCCCCGAAUCUAACCAAAAUCAGCAUACAACCAUCAAUAUACGCUAAAGGAAUUAAACCCAUAUAAAAUAAUCAAUUUAACUCAAAAAUCCUAAAAUUGGCCAAAUCCGACCCUCGGGACCACAUAUCGGAUUCCGAUAAAAAAUACAAAACUAGAAUCCUCACACUCUCACGAGUUCAUACAUACCAAAUACACCAAUAUUCGACCACAAACGACCUCUUAAAUCCCCAAAUCAAGGUCUCCAAUUCCAUGCCCUAAUCUCCUAACUUUCCUCCUUAAUUUUCCACUAAUACCAUGAUUAAACAAUGAGAAAAUGGCCAUAAACACAAAUAAUAAGGCUUAAGAAGCUUACCCAAUAGAAACCCCUCGAUUUCCUUGAAAUAUCACAGCCCUAGAUCUCUUUCCGUCAUCAAAAAUGGUGAAACUUAGCAAAAUUUCGCGAAGGCAUCUAUUUAUAUGUUCUGACCAGCGAUACCGCAUUUGCGGUCCAAUUCCCGUACCUGCGGGACCACAUCUGCGCAUAACCAACCGCUUCUGCAGUUUUUCAUUUAAUUGCCCUUACUGCACCUGCACUCAAAUAUCCGCACCUGCUCCUUCGCAGGUGCACUCCACUCUCUGCAUCUGUGGCUUCUGCCUUCGCACUUAUGGCUGCAACUGCGGCUUGAUCUCGCUUCUGCGGUUAUCGCACCUGCGGACCCAUAACCGCAUAUGCGGUUAUGACAUCACCCCGAGGCCCCCAGGACGUCAACCAAAAGUAUGAACAAAUCACGUUACACUAUUCAAACUUAUACCAACCUUCAGAACACUCCAAACAACAUCGAAUAGUCAAAACACCCUCGAAUUCAAGCCUAAGAUUCCCAAAACUUCCGAAUUCCGCAAAACGAUCAAAAAGUUUAUCAAACCACCUUCGAAUGGCCUGAAAUUUUGCACACGCGUCACAAAUGACACAACGGACCUACUUCAAUCUCUAGAAUUCCAUUCCGACCCCGAUAUAAAAAAUUUCACUACCAAUCGGAAAGCGCAAAAAUUCCAACUUCACCUAUUCAAGCUUAAAUCUACCACUGACCUCCAAGUUAUAUUCCGAUCACACUCGUAAGUCCCGAAUCACCUAAUGAAGUUAUCUGAAUCAUCAAAAUUCACAUCUGAGCCCUUUUUCACAUAAGUCAACGUCCGGUUGACUUUUCCAACUAAAGCUUAUUCAAAAGAGACUAAUUGUUCCAAACCUCUCCAAAACCACUCAGAACUCGAACCAACUAACUCGAUACCACAUAAUAUAGCUGAACAGGACAUAAAGAAGUAGAAAUAGGGAAAACGGAGCAGUAACUCAUGAAAUGACCGGCCGGAUCGUUACAAAAUCCCAUGUUUAUUUCUUUAGAGACCAAUCUCGCAACUCAAGAUUUUCAACCACUUGAGCUACCAACCGAGCUAUUGAAUUUUUAUUGAUUUAAUUCUUUUGUCAUCAAAAUAUUAGUUGUGAAACCUUAAGCAUUUAUACCUUAAUGAAGCAAUGGAACAGGAAAAUCAAAAGCUCAUUUUAGGCAUGAAGAUUCAUCUAAGAAAAUUAAACCAAACAAUAUGCAAACAGUAAUCAACAGAACAAAACUGAAUAAACAAAUACAACUAAGACACCCCAAAACAGAGGAACAAAACACUAACACAUACGAGCAACAAAUACAAAGAAAAGACUAUUUAAUGAGAUUAUGAAAAUAAACAAAAGCAUGACAUUAAGCGAAUAAAAAGUAGAGGAAAGGGAGAAAUAAACCUCAAAUAAAUCUGAAAUGCAACUAUUUGACAAUUCUGAGGCGCGACGCAAUAGAACCUCAAGCAAGAAUCUCCACAGGAAACUGGAGAACAGGACCUAGAUCGAAAAAUCGGACGAAGACCUCAAACAGGUGCCUCUACCAGAACAGAGAACAACCCCUCCGGCAACUCGAAACUCGUCGAAAAUUCAAAAGUGAAAAAAUGAGCUAAGCACUUUCUUUACAGCGGAAACGCGACAACUUUGGAACUAUUUUGAAGUUGCUCUUACGUGGGUUUCGCGGCUAGAUUUUGCUGAAGUUUGGGGCGAGUUUAAGGACUGUUUUGCGGAUAGAGUUGAGCAGAUUUUUAGCAGCUAUUUCGGGUCAUUCCGGGUGUUGUUUUAGUCCAUUUUUGGAUGGUUCUUGGUGGUUGUUGACAGCUGAAUUUUGGGGCUGACUCUCAUGGGUUUUGAGGCUGGUUUAAAGGCAAUUUUCACCUUCUUUGGAGCUGAGUUUCAGAGCUCAAUUUUGGCAUUGUUUUUGACAGCUUUUCACGGUAAGUUAGAGGUGGGUUUGGGGUGUUCAUAGGUAACUUGAGAUCUGAUAUUAAUGGAUGAAAAUCAGGUGUUAUCAUGGAGGUUUCAUGGUGGAGAUAUGGAAGAAGAAGAAAGUGGAAAACUCCUGAUUUUGGUGUCUGCCGUGGCUCUUUUUUGCACUUUUGCUCUGUUUUUGUUCCCUCUGUUCGUUCCUCCUCUCUAUGUGUGUGCGCGAUCUUAUCUAUUCUUUUGUGAUUGUAGAAGAAGAAAGAAUUUCUUUUUGCUAGCGUGCGGUCCCCACCCCAUAAGAAAAUAUUGUGUCCCUUUUUGUGAGUGGAAUGGACAAAGUCAUAAAUUAUUAUUGUGGUAAUCUCCCAUAAUGCAAAGUAUGAGAAUGAGGAAAAGGAGUUUUGGCUUCUCUUUCUUUGAGGAUAUGGAAGAAAUCCAUUUAAGGAGGUGGACCCCAUUAGAAAAUAAAAAAACCAAUAAUUAUUUAUAUAAGAAAAAUAAAAGAGGACAAAAUGGGCAGGGAAUCACUUGAAUUAAAUUUCAAAGUUGGGCAAAAAUCUGUUUCCCCUAUUUACGUUUCUUUCCUUUUUUUCACUUCAUUUUUCUUCUUUUCUUCUAAUGUUAGAUAAUAAAAUGAAAUAAAAUAAAAACUUCACAAAAAUACUAAUUUAUCUAGGAUAACAGAAAAUAUUAGGCGGAGACAUAGAGUUACUUGUUUAAAUACUACUCAACAUAUACUAAAACCUAUAACUUUAAAACUAAACUAAUUAAAUAUAUAUUUUUAAAAUUUACUUCUUAUCUUUUUGGAAAAAUAAAAUAUCAAUACUAUUUUUUUUUUGUAUUUUUCAGUUCUAUGAAAAGUGAAAUAAACUAAAAUAACUAGAUAAAGUAUCAAUUAGCUUAAAUAAAGGAAAAGAUUUGUAGUUUUCAAUUUUUAUGCUUUAAAAACUUGAAUUAAAAUUAAUAAUAGAAUGAAAUCCUAUAAACUCAAAUAAUUGACAAAAAAUACUAAGACUACUAAAGAUAAUUUUAAUGUGCGGGUCAAAAAUUACGUGCUUACAAAUAGCUUCGUUAUGUCACUUGGAACUUGUGUGCAAACUUUGAGUCCAUUCCGGAUUGAUUUGGUAUGUUUCCGCACAGGUUUCGAAAGCUGAAAGCUCAUUAACUUCAUUGAGACAAUUUUUGAAGCGACUUUCACCAAAUAUAUCGGGGUAAGUGUUCUUUACUCAUUUUUUGUUAUAUUUCAUGAAUCGUUCUUUGGUUUUUGGCAUUUGGUUGAUGAUUUCAAAAGAGAAAUUGGGGAUUUUUUUAUUAAAGAUUCAUAGAGCAAAUUCUUGGAUUUUGAACAUCAAUUCGAAGUCGGAUUUGAGUGAAACUAGUAUGGUUGGACUCUUAAUUGAAUGGGCUGUCGGAUUUUGUGAGUUUUGUCGGGUUCCGAGGUUUGGGCCCAAGUUGGACUUUUGGGAUGAUUUUGGGCUUUUGAUUAUAGAUUUGACUUUUAUUGAUUGGGUUUGGUUCAUUUGGCAUUGUUUGAUUUAUUUGAGUUGCUUUUGGCUAGUUUUGAGUAUUUCGGAGGUCGGUACGCACGAAAUGACAUUUUUGGAGCAUCACUUGGAUUGCUCGGUAUUGAAAUUUGCUUCUUCAAGGUAUGUAACAAUUACAAAACAUGGUGCUGAGGUUAUGAAAACCUGAAUUAUGUGUUAUGUGAUUGGUGUUGAGGUGAAUUAUGUGCUGAGGUUAUGAAAACCUGCGCCGUGUGAAUUGUGACUCCUUAAUUCUUGUGGUACUGUGUAGUUACCUGAUAUUAUCUGUAACCAUGAAAUCUCUACAUACUAGAGCUAUUGAGUUGUGAUCCUUGUUAGAAACCAUGUGUAGGCUACAUGCUUAUUACGUUAGACUCAGUGAGGUCAUAUUGUUGUUGAAUUAUUUGUUUAAAUUGCAAAUUCAUACUCAGUCAUGUUCAUUCAUUUCAUAUCAUAACUCAGUGUCUGUUGUUAUUUUAUUGAUAAAUCAUGUCAUCAUUUUUGGGCUAGUUUCAUGAGAUUGUGAGCCCCAGAGACUAGAGAGUUUGAUGACUGAGUGAGAUCGAGGGCCUGAUUAUGAUAUUAUUGAUACUAUAUCACGUGAGUUAUCCAUGCAACACGUGAGUUAUCCGUGUAGAUUCAGAUAUUGAUACUAUAGCACGUGAGUUGCCCGUGCAGAUUAUAGCGCUUGGGUUGAAGGAUCCCUUUCGAAGUCUGUACACACCCCCAGUGACUGAGGUUGAUUUAUAUUGAGGGAUGGAUCUUCCCUAGGCAUGGAUCUUGCCCGAAGCAUUUAUAUUUGGGGAUAGAUCUUCCUCGGGCUGCGUUGGUCUUAUACAAUACUGAGUGACUGACUGUCACUUGCUAUGUAUACAUUCAGGAUGGAUCUUCCCUGGGCUGGAUUGGCUAUAUACAAUACUGAGUGACUGAGCAUGUCGAGUGGUUGAGCAUGAUGAGUGAAAAGUGUGAGACAGUUAGAUUGAGUACUCUAAGAGUGUGAGUACAUGAAUUUAUCUCUGAGAUACAUUGCAUUUGACAUGCACACUUGGCAUACAUGCAUAGAGAUGUAUUUUCCUCUUGUUGUAUAGUAUCACGACAUUCAUGGCUUCUCACACAUAUUGACAUAUAGGUAUAGAGAUGAUUUUUUCUUAUGUCUUUUAAAAAUGAAACGUUUACAUGCUGAAAGCUUUGGGGAAAAUUACAAUUUUCAAAAUUACUCAUAUUUUUUGUGAUUUUGGUAAAAGUUUUGGGUUUUCACAAAUAUACUUGAAAAGCAGACCUACUUUCUGGAAUUAUGAACGAACUGAGAAAUCUAUCUCUAGUUACUUCUUUUAUUACUUUCAUUAUAUUGCUAUGAACUGUUGUUAGCUAUUGGUGUUGGACUCUGACCUAUGUUUCAGCUCGUCACUACUUUCAAUCUAAGGUUAGGUUUGUUACUUAUUGAGUAUAUGAGGUCGUUUGUACUCAUACUACACUUUUGCACCUUGCGUGUAGAUGUUGGAUGUUGAUGUUGAUGUGUUCAAUGAGAGCUAGAUUUGAAGAUGUACUUGCGUUCCGGUUAUAGAUACCGCUUGUUCAUGGUAGCUCUAGACUUAUGAAAGAUCUGUUCAUGUAUAUUUUAAACAUAUAAUGUACUUUAUUUCAUACCAGCUUUGUAAAAUAUAAAUCUUAGACGCUCAUGAUUUGUACUACCAGUCCUUGGGAACUAUAUAAGAUUUAGAUAUUUUCUUUUACUUAAUUGUCUUAUUAAAAUUUAUUAGAAUUUGAUAGUUGUUAAUUGGCUUACCUAGAGGGUUGGGUUAGGUGCCAUCACGACAAGUUGGAUUUUGGGUCGUGACAAGUUGUUGCCAAAGCUCUAGGUUCACAGGUUCUACAAGUCAUUAGCAAUUGUCUAGUAAAGUCGUGUGAAUUGGUAUGAUGACGUUCAUACCUAUCUUCGAGAGGCUACAAGGCAUUUAGGAUAAACUUCCCAUAUUUCUUUCCUUAUCGUGUUGCAUUUAUUCAUCUUGAAGCUUAACUCUUUGAAUUCCUUCCACGCACUUGUAUGCACAUGUGAGCGCUCGGUAUCAGCUCUACAUCAACGACUUGUGAUCCUUGGUUGAGGUACAAGAUGUGAUUUCUGUGUGCUGAUGAUGGGCCAGUCUGGAGGGCUUGAGGCCAGAUUUUGACUAUAGCUUGAGCACGAAGAUUUCAAUUGUGUGAGCAUGUGAUUUUAGACUUAUAAGUCCGGUAGUGUCCCUAUUAGUGGAAUUUGUGGUUUGAUGAGUGAUUGGAUGGCUAUAUAAUGAGUAUGAUGUGACUGCGGGAUGUGUUCGCAUAGUUUGAAUGUGUUGAGAAGAGUUUGCUUGAGAUGUAAAAGGACCAUUGGGUGCUUGAUUUCUAUCUUGAUAUGACGUAUAGUCUCGAGUCAUGAGUGUAUUGAAUGAUAUUUCAUGUUGCUUAAUUGUGGAACGAAUUAGAUUCUCAUGGGUUUGUUGAUGGGUUUAGACUCGGGAAGAUUAAGUGAUUGCGUAGUAGUUGUGUCUAUGAAGGGGUAUAAAGAGAUGUUAGUUUGAGGCUAAGGAGGUGGGUUAUAACCUGCGAGGUAAUCUACGGAUGUGUUUUCUUAAUGAUGUUGUAUGAAGGCUUUCUUAUCUACCAGUCAGUUAUAUUUGUACGAUUUGAGUUUGGAUCGGUUGUAAUAAUUGACCUGACCAUUAUGAGGAUGAAUUGAGGUAUUAGAUGGUUUGUGUUACAUGAGCUUAUAAAAGAUUUAGUUGAAUCUCACUAUGGUAUUAUGGCUGUAAUGGAGUAUGGUUAUUGUAAGUUAUCAGAUGUUUUAUUCUAUGGCUUUGAGCCAAGUAGGGGAGUCUGCUAUCGACGAGUUUACUAUACGGAUUUGUGUUGUAUUGGUUUCGGUUUGAGGUAUACUUGUGAAUCAGUUAUGACUUGUAGAGGUUGAGAUCGAUGAUGACUCGAGUAAGAGGAUUUCUAAACAUGGGUUGUAUUACACUCUAUGGGUAUAUGAGAAUCAUGGAAUGAUUGAGCAAUGAUUUGUGAAGGAUGUAGUGUAGAUGAAGUAUGAAUUUACUCGGUUAUUUAUAGGUGUGGACUACUUCUUUGGGUGUUAUUGAGCUAAUGGGGCACAGGUCGUUCGUCCCGUUUGGGCGAUGCAAUUGAGAUUUGAGUAGAGUGGAUGACUCUUGAUAAGAUUCUAAGGGAUUCAGGAGUUAUAUGUAGCAAUUGGGAAUUUCCAGGAUUUGUAUAUAGCUAGAUUUGAGAUUUACAUUAGAUGGUGUUGAGACUUGCGGUAUUUCUAUAUCCAUAUGGAUUCUACAUUUCAGUAUUAGGAAGGUGAAUGAAAUGACUUUAGAUUCACAUAAGAUCUCUUCAGAGUGGGUAUCUCGGCUGUGGUACUUUAGGGUACUUAAGAGGGAAUUCAACAGCUUAUGGGCCUUAGGGCGGUGUAGUUCUAUGCUAGAGUUUAUGAGGUGAGUUUUGGUUAAGGAUCGUGGUGUUCUAGAAAGGAGAAAUAUCAAUUUGAAAGCAAUUUGGAAGCGUAGAAAUAGGACAAUUAAUAGUAGAUUGAAUCAGCACCAUAAUGGAUAUGAUCGGUUCUUUGGGUACUUAUGAUGUAGUGAGUUUCUACAGGGUGUUUUGUGGUGAUACUCUUAGAUUUGGUGACUUGCGUGGCUUGGUUGAGCUAGAGAGAUUUAGUUUUGAUGGUUUGGUCAUGUGGAAAUGGGUUACGAAGUGUUCUCAAUGGUUUCUACCACAGUUCGAGGUGUAUAUUUCUUGUCGGACGAGAGAGAGUUACAUGACUUGUUGAUCUUAUGAGUGGUUAACAGUUUUUGCAUGUUUCUUUCAUCAUCGGCAGUGUACAAAGGUUCAGAACAAAAUUUUAGUUGAUAUAGAGUUUUUUACCGAUGUUAAGUUGGUUAUCGAUCAACUAUUAUGGUCGAAAGGUAUUUCUAUGAGUAUUUGAGUUAUGUGGUACGUCAUGCGAAUACAUAUUGGGUUGUGGUUAUGGCUUGAUACAACUUGUUCUGACUUAUACAGUGUGUAGAUGCGAAGUUCGAGACUUAUAGUAAAUUCCAAAUGCUGGAAAUAGGAUUCUGUGGUUUACGGGCUAAGGUUGAAGUAAUGAUCUUCAGUAUGUUGUGUUUUUGGGCCUAUAUGGAAUAGGGUGAUGUGGGAUCACCCCCGGUAUGUGCAUGGUAAGGCUACACGGCGAUUUGAUGGCUUUAGAACGACUCUUGGCAUGUUUGAGGAUGAACCUAUGUUUAAAAGGGGGAGGAUGUGAUGAACCGACCAGUCGCUUUGAACAUUUGCAGUUUGCUCAGUAGUUUGAGGGCGUGAGUAGUUCCGUGUGAUGUAUUAUGACUUAUGUGAAUCAUCGGUUUUGGUUUUCAGGUUAUUCAGAAUCGAUUUGGAAGAAUGAAUUUCAUGAGUUAAGCUUUAAGUUGGAAGAGUUGACCAAAUUUGACCUUUUAGUAUUUGGUCUCGGACUGGAGUUUUGAUGGUUCUGUUAGGUCUGGAUAGUGAUUGGACUUGGGCAUAUACCCGGAUUUACAUUUGGAUGUUUCUAGAAGGUUUCAGCACAAAUUGGCAAAAAUUGGAAAUUGAAGGUUUGGGAAAGUUCAUAAGUUUGAGCGAGAGUUGACUUUGGAGAUAUCGGAUUCGGAUUGUGGUUCCGGGAAUUGGAAUAGCUUUGUUAUGUCACUUGGGACUUAUGUGCAAAAUUUAAGUCCAUUCCGAGUUGAUUUGGUAUGUUUUGGCGCGAGUUUCGGAAGUUAAAAGUUCAUUAACUUCAUUAAGUUAAUUUGAGGUGCGAUUUGUGAUUUUGAUAUUGUUAAGUGAGAUUUGAAACAUUGAGUAUGUCUGGGUUAUGAUUUGGAACUUGCUUGCAAAAUUCGGGGUCGUUCGGAGUAGGUUUGAUAGCAUUCGGACGCUUGGUUGCAAUUCUAGAAGUUCUUGAGUUCUCCUUUCAGAUUUCAUGCAUGUUGAUGUCUAAUUCAUGGUUUCGGGUGUUGUUUUGGUGAUUUGAUCACGCGAGCAAGUUCGCUUAAUAUUUCUAGACUUGUGUGGAUGCUUAGCGUGGAGCCCCGAUGGCUCGAGUGAGUUUUCGGGUGAUUUCAGACCAUUUCUAGGCCAUUUUUAGCUGCUGGUUUUUGGCUACUGGGGUGUACAUUGCGAUCGCGUGGAUUUGGUGCAUUAGCGAAGUGAAAAAUAGGAAAAAUGGAGCUAUGAACCGCGAUCGCAGAAGCCUUCUCACGAUUGCAAAGAAGAAAAUCUUUGCUGCGCUGACCCAACUUUGGAAGCUUAUAUCUUGCAAUCUACAACGAAUUUGGAGAUGAUCCAAAAAUAAAAGUUGUACACCUUUGUGUUUAGUUUUUAGAAAAUCAAACCUUUUGUCAUUUAGAGUUUUGUACAAAAGGUUAUAGCCAAUAUACUACAGGCAAUCUGAGAAGAGUUGGGAAGGGUUAAAUGGAAGUUUGUUCUUAGCGAUCGCGGGGAAAUGGCCACGAUCGCUUAGGGUAAAAAUUGUUCUGCAAAAUUUUAUAACCGCGAUCAUGAUGUUUUUUAUGGUGAUCAUGAAGGGUACCCCUGGAGCGGUGUAUAUAGUACGCUAAUUUGAAGGUUUCAGAUAUUUUCGCAUAUUUUGUGCUAUGGAGCUCGGAUUGAGAUGAUUUUUGAAGCGAUUUUCACCAUAUGGAUUGGGGUAAGUGUUCUCUACUCAAUUUUAGUUAUUUUUCAUAAAUCUAUAUUAAUUUUUUGCAUUGGUUGAUGAUUUCAAAAGAGAACUUGGGGGUUUUUGACUAAAGUUUCAUAGAGUGAAUUAUUGGGUUUUGAUCAUCGAUUCGAAGUCGGAUUUGAGUGAAACUAGUAUGGUUGAACUUGUAAUUGAAUGGGUUAUCUAAUUUUAUGAGUUUUGUCGGGUACUGAGGUGCGGGCUGUAGUUGAACUUUUGGGAUAAUUUUGGGCUUUUGAUUAAAGCUUUGACCUUUAUCGAUUGGGUUUGGUUCCUUUGGCAUUUUUUGAUGUAUUUGAGUUGCUUUGGGCUAGUUUCAAGUCGGUACGCAUGGAAUGGCAUUUUUAGAGCAUCGCUUGGCUUGCUUGAUAUAUAAAUUGGCUUCUUCGAGGUAAGUAACACUUCUAAACUUGGUGCUGACGGUAUGAAAACCCGAAUUACAUGUUAUGUGUUUGGUGUUGAGGUGACGCACAUGCUAGGUGAUGGGCGUGUGGGUGUGUGCCGUGUGAAUUGUGACUCUAUAAUUCCUGUGGUACUAUAUAGUUACUUGAUCUUAUCUGUAAACAUGAAAUCACUACGUACUAGAGCUAUUGAAUUGUGAUCCAUGUUAGAAAUCAUGUUUAGGCUACAUGUUUUUCCGUUGGGACCCACUGAGGCAAUAUUGCUGUUGAAUUAUUUGUUUAAAUUGCAAUUUCUUACUCAACCAUGUUCAUUCAUUUCAUAUUAUAACUUAGUCUCUCUUGUUAUUUAUUAAUACAUCAUAUCAUCAUUUUUGGCCUAGGUUCAUGACAUUGUGAGCCCGAGAGACUGGAGAGUUUGAUGAUUGAGUGAGACUGAGAGCCUGAUUGUGAGGUUAUUGAUACUAUAACACGUGAGUUAUCCAUGUAGAACGUGAGUUGUCUGUGUGGAUCCAGAUAUUGACACUAUGUCAAGUGAGUUAUCCGUGCAACACGUGAGUUGUCCGUGCGAAUUAUAGCGCCUGGACUGAAGAAGCCCCUCUAGAGUCUGUAUACACCCCUGUGAGCGUGGUUGAUUUAUAUUGAGGUAUAGAUCUUCUCUGGGUAUGGAUCUUUCCCAAAGCAUUUAUAUUUGAGGAUGGAUUUUCCCCUGGCUGCGUUGGCCUUAUAUAAUACUAAGAGACUGACUGUCAGUUGCUGCGUAUAUAUUCAGGAUGGAUCUUCCUUGGGCUGGAUUGGCCAUAUACAAUACUUAGUGACUGAGCAUGUCGAGUGAUUGAGCAUGAUGAGUGGAAAGUNNNNNNNNNNNNNNNNNNNNNNNNNNNNNNNNNNNNNNNNNNNNNNNNNNNNNNNNNNNNNNNNNNNNNNNNNNNNNNNNNNNNNNNNNNNNNNNNNNNNNNNNNNNNNNNNNNNNNNNNNNNNNNNNNNNNNNNNNNNNNNNNNAUGCACACUUGGCAUACAUGCAUAGAGAUAUAUUUUCCUCAUGUUGUACGGUAUCACGACAUUCAUGACUUCUCACAUAUAUUGAAAUAUAGGCAUAUAGAUGUAUUCUCCUCAUGUCAUUUAAAAAUGAAACAUUUACAUGUUGAAAGCUUUGGGAAAAAUUAUAGUUUUUAAACUUACUCAAUUUUUGGCGAUUUCGGUACAAGAUUUGGGUUUUUACUUUUUACUGAUAUACUUGAAAAGCAUACCUAUUUUCUGGAACUGAGGACGAGCUGAGAAUUCUAUCUCUAAGUUGCUUCUUUUAUUAAUUUUAUUAUGUUGUUAUGAACUGUUGUUGGCUAUUGGUGUUGGAUUACGACCUAUGUUCUAGCUCAUCACUAUUUUAAACCUAAGGUUAGGUUUGUUACUUAUUGAGUACAUGGAGUCGGUUGUACUCAUGCUAUAUUUCUGCACCUUACGUGCAAAUGUUGGAUAUUGAUGUUGUUGUGUUCGAUGGAAGCUAGAUUUGAAGAUGUACCUGCAUUCCGAUUAUAGUUGCCUCUUGUUCAUGGUAGCUCUAGACUUAUGAAAGAUCUGUUUAUGUAUAUUUCAAACAGAUGAUGUACUUUAUUUCAUACCAGCUUUGUAAAUUCUAAAUCUUAGACGCUCAUGAUUUGUACUACCAGUCCUUGGGAACUGUAUAAAAUUCAGAUAUUUUCUUUUACUUAAUUGUCUUAUUAAAAUUCAUUAGAAUUUGAUAGUUGUUAAUUGGCUUACCUAGCAGGGUGGGUUAGGUGCCAUCACGACAAGGUGGAUUUUUGGUCGUGACAAAAAUCAUUGGAGACUUAAAAUUAUUUGGUGGACCAAUCAAGAGUGGGGAACAAGUCGGAAAAAUUCUAAGAAGUCUUUCCACAAUUUGGCAACCUAAAGUCAUUGCACUGGAAUGCCAGGAUCUUGACAAAAUGUCCUAUGAUGAACAUAGAGGUGAUCUAAUUGUGUUUGAGAAAACACACUUAGACAGGCAAGUUCAACAAGAAAAGAAUAAUACAGUUGCAUUCAAAGCAACUAUGACUGAAUCAAAAAAUAAAGAAGAAGAAGGAGGAGGAGAACAAGAUGAAAACAUAGCUAUGCUAUCCAAAGUUGUAACAAGAAUGAUAAGGAAAAACAAAAACAACAAAAGAGGUAAAUCAAACUUCAGAAAAGGGAAAAUGAACAAUGAUAAUGAUAAAAAUGAUGGAAGAUGCUACGAGUGUGGAAAACAUGGACACAUUCAAGCUGAAUGCCCCGAACUGAAAAAAGAAACUAAGCAGGAACUUUCAAAAGAAGAAGUCCUUUGGACUUGGAGUGAUGAAGAAGAAUCUAAUCAAGAGGGAAUUGCCAAUAUGUGUUUCAUGGCUAUGAAUGAAGAUAGCAAUAAGGACUUAGGUGAACUUAGUCUCAUGGCAGACGAAGGAACAAGUGAGGUACGUCUUCCUACAUGUCCUAACUGUUAUAAACUCCAAGAAUUUAUUGAUAUUACUCUUGCAUAUAUUGAAAGAGUUCUAAAUGAACGUAGAAAAACCAAAAGAGAAAAGAAAGACUGGGCUUUGAAGUUGGAAGUGUGUGAAAUUGAGAGAGAUAUACUUUAAGAUUGCCAUGACCCAAAUCUACCAUGUCGUGAUGGCGCCUAUCGUGGUACUAGGAAAGCCGACAUAUUACCGAAACCAACCAAUAUUCUCAUUCUUAAGAUAAAAUCAAAGCUAUUUAACAAUAAACCUUCAUAAAGUGUUUAAAUCAAAUACCAGUGCGAAAAGAAAAGCCCGACAUCGGGGUGUCACUAGUCAUGAGCAUCUACUAAGAACUAUCCGAUAAUACUAAGACUACUACAAUCUGAAAACCAACUAAUAACAUCUAUAGGAAGAUAAGAGGGAGAAGAGCAGGGCUGCAAUCGCCAUGCAGCUACCUUGAUAACUCUAACAGAUCCGCGACGGAUAAAAAUCACGUCCAGCAACCCCUGGAUCUGCACAAAAGGUAUAGGGAGUAAUGUGAGUACGCUAACUCAGCAAGUAAUAAAGUUAAAUAAAUACUGAGCAAUAGUGACGAGCAAUAAAAUAUAUACAGUUCAUAUCAUGAAAUCUUAGUAGAAUAUAGCAGGCUUUUAAAAUCAGUAUUUUGAAUCAACUCAGCUCAUUUAAAUCCAGUUUCAGUAAAACUAUUUAAAACAUCCUUCAAUAGUUUCAAACGAAGUGAUAAAAAAGUGAGUAAAAAAUGAUGAAAACAUAAUCAGCCCCACGGGCAAAAGCCACUCGUAUACAGCCCCUAGGGCAACAUAAAUUAUAAAUAGCCCCUCGGGCAAACAUCACUGUCACUCUUAUAGAGCCCCUCGGGCAUACCUCACAAUCACUUAUAAAUAGCCCCUCGGGCACAACAUGAAUCAAGAACAACCCCUCUGGAAAAACAUCAUAUCACUCACUCAGGGUGCCCGCGCUCAUUGGGGUGUAUAGACUCUGGAGGGGCUCCUACAUCCCAAGAGCUAUAACAAGCUACCUCGCGUCAUAAAUCAAUUGGCCCUCUGCCUCAUAACAAGCAACCUCGUGGCAUAAAUCAAUCAGGCCCUCGGCCUUACAAAAUCAUGAAUCAACAAAAACAUGUUGCAGCGUGCAGUCCGAUCCCAUAAAUAUCCUCACAAAAUAGGCCCCCGGCCUCACUUAGUCAUAAACCUCUCAAGCCACUCGGGCUAUUAAUAAAACAUAGUGCUCAGCCCAAAAUAACAUUUUAUGCAUCAAAACGGAGUAAUAAAGACUGAGUUAUGAAAUCGGUAAGUAUAACAUGACUGAGUAUAGAUUUUCAAUCAAAAGCAGUGAGAGGAUAGUAAGAAAAAGGCCCCUAAGGGUCCAAUCAGCUCUGACACAUGGCCCAAACAUGGCAUUCAGCACAAUUUACAAAAACACUUUCUAAAACACAUAAGUAUCAUAUAGUUUCAACGAAAUAUGCAACUUAUAGUUGCUAUGGGAUGGAUCAAGUCACAAUCCUCAACGGUGCACACCCACACACCUAUCACCUAGUAUGUGCGUCACCUUAAAGCAGAAAAACAAUAUGAAAUCCGGGGUUUCAUACCCUCAGGAGUAGAUUUACUAUCAUUACUUACCUUAAACAAGCCAAUUCCAUACCGAGCAAGCCAAGCGAUGCUCCAAAAAUGCCAUCUCGCGCGUUCCAAUCUCCAAACAGCUCGAAACUAAACAAAAACAACUCAAAUACAUCAAAUAAUGCUAAAGCAACUAAGCCUAAUCAAAAAAGAUCGAAUCUUUAAUCAAAAGCCCAAAUCGGCCAAAAAGCCCAACACGAGCCCACAUCUCAGAAUCCGACAAAAUAAAUAAAAUUUGAUAACCCAUUCAAUUAUAAGUCCAACCAUACUAGUUUCAUCCAAUUCCGACUCUGAAUCGAUGUUCAAAACUUAAAAUUUUACUUUAUGAGACUUUAGGCAAAGACCCCCAAAUUUCACGUUGGAAUCAUUAAUCAAAUGCCAAAAAUAAAGAUGGAAUCAUAAAAUAAAACUAAAAUCGAGUAUAGAACACUUACCACAAUACAUAUGGUGAAAAUCGCCUCCAAAAUCGCCAAAAUCCGAGCUCCCCAACUCAAAAUAUGACUAAAUGAACAAACUCUUAUUUUAUAUAUUUUUCUGCCAGCUAUUCUGCCUUGUUUCUCAUGCCAAACGAUCCCAAAACUCGCUUUUGAUUCCUCCAAUAGAUUUCUUGUGAAAUUUUAGUCAAGUUAGGCUCUUGAGUCACUCUAUUUGACCUUAUAUUUAAGGAGAUAUGUUGGUUUUAAUAUUUAAAAAUAGUGCAGAUUUUUAAAUACGAAUUCAGUGGCAAUUUCGUAAUUAAUUUGAAAAAAAUCUGGCAACCCUAUUCUUAGUAAAAUGGUCAUAAAAUUCUCAUACAAUGUCCAAAUUCAACGAUUCUUUUUGAAAUGGAUCCGUAAUUACGAUACAUAUCUAAUGCUUUAAUAAAAACAAAAAUCGGAGCUCAUUUUUAAUGUGGUACCAUUUAUGUUUUAAAAACCACGUCGAAACAUCAAAAACGAGUGCAACACAACGCAAACCUAUCCGAAACUCACCCGAGCCCCUUGGGACCCUAUUUGAAUAUACCAACAAGUAUCACAUCAUAACGCGAACCUACUUGAGGACUCAAAACACACAUAACAACAUCGAAAUGACGAAUCACACUUUAAUUCGAAAUUAAUGAACUUCAAACUUCAAACUUCCACAACUGAUACCGAAACCUAUCAAAUCACGUCCGAUUGACCUCAAAUUUUGCACACAAGUCACAUUUGACAUUAUGGACCUGCUCCAACUUCCGAAAAUGGAAUCUGACCCCGAUGUCAAAAAGUCCACUCCCGGUCAAACUUUCCAAAAUUCCAACUUUCGCUAUUUCAAGUCAAAUUCUACUACGGACCUCCAAAUCACAAUCUGGACGCGCUUCUAAGUCCAAAAUCACCCAACGGAGCUAAUGGAACCAUCAAAAAUCCAAUCAGAGGUCAAAUUCUAAAAAGUCAAAACUUGGUCAAACCUUUCAAAUUUAAAGGUUCUAGCUGAGAAUCAUUCUUCCAAAUCAAUUCCGAAUAAUCUGAAAACCAAAAUCGACAAUUCACAUAAGUCAUAAUACUUCAUACGGAGCUACUCAUGCCCUCAAACAAUCAAGCGAAGUGCAAUUAAUUGCUCAAAAUGACCGGUCGGGUCAUUACAUCCUCCCCCACUUAAACAUGUGUUCGUCCUCGAACGUGCCUAGAGUUGCUCCAAAAGCCAUCAACGCAUAGUAUAAUCUAACUAUGCACAUACCCGGGGGUGAUCCCAUGUCACCCUAUCCCAUAUAGGUCUGAUAACACAACAUGACUGAAAUUUCUUAAUCCAACCUAGUCUAUAUGUCUUAGGGCCCAAUUUCCAACAUCCGAAAUUUUCUAUAAGAUCAGAACCUCGCAUCUACACACUGUAUAAAGUCUAAACAAGCUGCAUCAAAUCAUAUCUGUAACCUAAGAUGUAAUCACAUUAUAUACCACAUAACUCAAACACUCAUGGUGAUAACUCCUAAUCACAGUAGCUGCUCAAAACAACCCAAUACAGGUAAUACACCUCUUAACAAACGAAGCCUCAUUCAAACACAUUCAUAUACUUCCAAUGAUGAAAGAAACACGCAGAAACUCAUAACCAUUUUAUAAGAUCAACACGUCAUAGAGCUCCUUCUUAUUCGACAUGAACUAUAGCAGAUUUUUAAGUUGAUUUCCGAUAUUAUCCUUCCAACCAUAUUGUAACCAAUCUAAUUGUAUUCAUUCUAGGUCUAAUGACCUCAUCUCAUCCAACACAACCACCCUGAUGACAUGACACAUCAAUACAAUCCAAAGUCAUAACAUGCGCAAUUCGUGCACACAAUAGCAACAUCCUAAAUGUACUCAAGUGUCAGGUCGAAUUUUGAAAGUUUAAAGGCUUAAUGAAUUAAAGGGUUGAAUAAAGGAAGAAGGUGAAUAGUAAUUCUGUUACUAUUCACGAGCCAUAACUCCGGAAUCCGGCGGUGGAUUAUCGCAAAUUUGGUAUCAAAAGAAACAUCUACUCAUCGCGCACAAUCCCCAAUUGGUUUCAUAGUCAAAAUCAUAGGCAAUUUUUCCAGAUCUUAGUUUUAAAGAACGAGUUACUGUAGCACGCAGAAUUUUCAGCUUCUCCUUCACGUAAAUGGAGUUUUGAAGAUCAUCAUGACUGCUGCGACCUCUCCCCAGUCUUUGGCUGUGGGAGAGGCAAUCCAAAACACCAUAGAAACUCAUCCAAAUCCUAAUAUCAAACAGUCCUAUGCAUCGCAACUACUGUCAAAACAAUCUGCCGCAAAAAUCGCAAAACUGGAACUUUGUCCUGUUACAUUUGAGCAUGGAAUACCUACUAUAGAAUUCACCAUAGAUGAAGUGAAUGCAUUCACCAUGGAAGAAGGUCUUCAUCAAGCAGUCAUACUGAAAUUUUCGUAUGGAAAACCUGAGCUUCAUGAGCUGCGUCAAGUUCUGCCAGAACAGUUCGAUAUUAAAGGCAAUUGUAAUAUUGGACAACUGGAAUUUCGACAUGUACUAGUAAGACUUGAUUUGUUUGAUUAUUUUGUUCAAGUAUUAUCAAGAUCAACAAGCUAUGUUAAGUCGAAAGGCACUGGGUUCUUUUUUAGAACUUUUCCAUGGACGAUUGGAUUUAAUCCAAGAGAAGAGACGUCUAAAGCAGUUGUGUGAAUUUCUCUACCUGAACUGCCUGCAAAUUUCUUUGCAAGGAAGUCAUUGAUGUCCAUAGCUUCAGCUGUUGGAAAACCUCUAGUUGUGGAUAAAGCUACUCAAGAUAGAACGCGACCAAGUACGACAAGGGUAAAAGUCUUGCUUGAUCUGUUGGAUAAGCAUCCCAAGAAAGUUAAGAUUCAUAUUGUUGAUUAUAAAUCUGGGAAACUAGUGGAACAUUAUCAAGAUAUUAAAUAUGAUAAUCUCCCAAAAUUCUAUACUUGUUGUAAACACCAGGGACAUGAUGAAAAAUCUUGUCGUUGGAGUAUCGAGAAUAAUCAGGGAGAGGUUGAAGUUGUGGAUGAAAGAGAAGGUCUGGGCAGCUUGGAUAAAUUGCAAGGUGAUGCUAGAGCCUAUCUAAAUGCAAAAAGAUCUGGGCAUUUGGAAGGGGAAACAACAAAGGAAAGAUUGGUCGAGCAGCAGGAUUCACAAAGUGAAAAGGAAAUACAAAGUGCUCUUCAGAAUAAAGAGAAUGCAACAAAUCGAGUUGUUAAUGAUAACAUUGUUGGUGAUGUUUCACAGGUUCAUAAGGGUCCAGCUCUACCCUCUCGUGAUGUGCCUACUAGGAUUGCCCUAGCAAGGAUUGCCAAUGCUGUCAAUCCAGUAGUGCAAGCGUAUGAUAAACUUACAACUGUUGCAGCUCUUAUGGUAACUGCUGCAGGUUCUAAAAGGACUGUUGAGUUUGCUGAUAAAGAUACAACUGGCCAGGAUCAUUUUGGUCAUAAUGGUGAAAGUGUGGAACAACAGGGAAAGAAAAAAGGGUUGGAACCUGUAACUGAUUUAAGACCAAAAGGUGAUCGAGCUGAGAUUUCUGUACCUGGAAAACACUCAGCUAUUGUGGUGUCAAAUUCGGAACCUACUGUUCCAUUGACUGCUACUAUUGAUCGACCUGCCAAGGUAGGUUCAACUGAUGCCUCUAGGAUUGUUGGUGUGCAGGAUGGUAAUGCUACAAUCACAUCAGUGUUUGAUGGAAAAGGGCAGCUACAUGUGAAUCAAACUAAAUGUGACAAGCUAACUAAAGUGGAUCGAGCAGCAGUUAGUGAUACUGUAAAAUAUGCAAAUGAUUUUCAAGCUACUACAACAUUGUCAAGGUUACAUAUGGAUGUGAAUGCACUCUUACAAACUCUUACAACUGAAUCUGGCCAACUGAUAGAUGAUAGGGCAUUAGCUGCAAUUGUUUGAGCUUUUGUUGCCAAAAAUAAUGCAGCAGUACCAGAGAGAUGGGGGGCUACUGUUGUAUUGAAGGGAGAUGGGGAUCGAGAAGCUGCUGGGUUUGCUGAACCUAAUGCUACUCAACCGACCAAUAACGUGAAUAAUGCAACAAAUGUGUUUGUGGGAAAUGAGGAAUCUGAAAUGAAAGUUGCUACUGUAUGCUCGAAUUUGGAGGAAACUGUUACAUUGGGUGCAAGUGUUGAUCUAGCUAAUGCUAAGAACUAUAAAUCAAGUGCUGCAGUAGUUGAUUCAAUUGAAAAACAAGGAAGAGAGGAGCACCAAAGAGGUCAGAGGACUGGGCUACAACCAGCUGCACAAACACUUGCAGAUGAUCAGCAGAAAAAUGCAGCGCAAAUCACUGACAAAAUAGUUUCUGCCCAAUUUUCUGGGAAUGAAAACAUUGGGACUACGAGCAUUUUGAUGGAAAAUAAGAAUGGGAAUCUGAAUUCUACUCUGCAUUUUUCCAACCCUCAAGUAGAACAAAUCAUUAAGGAUGCUCAGAAUGAGAUGAUGAUGAAGGAUAUUAUGUUCAAACAACCGUUAGUUACGCUGAACAAAUCUGUAUAUGAUGUCCCCUCGCAAUCAGUGGAAUCCUGUGGUGAGUUUGAAGGGGAAUUUGGGCAGCUCAUGUUAUCAACUAGAAAUAACAACGAGUUAAUACAAGCAAAUGUGAGAAACAUGGUUGUUAAAGCUAAUUUAUGGAAAGAGCAACGUAAGGAAGACGAUGAAGAGGACUUGGGCGAUGGAUUUGCUGGCUACUCUUCUGAAGAACGAGAGUAGGAGGUGGAUCAGUAUAGUGCAGGGGAGAAGUUUGAUCCUCCAGUGAAGCAAAAGAAAUUAAACUUUCAAGCUCCUGCAUUUCCAAGAAACACUCCUACUGUUGGUACUACAAAUUCAGAAUCUGGAAGGGCAGUACAAGCUGCAAAAACAUCUCUCAAGCAGGCGACUCAAGCUAUUUCAACUCAAAUGGUAAUAACUCCUACGAAGACUGUGCAGCAGCAGCGAAAGGAUCCAAAUAUUUUAACUAGCAAUCAUCCUGGUGAUAGUAAAAUAGUAACAGUUACAACGACUGGGCAGAAACAGCAACAUACAACAACUGCAGCUGAUGUUAAUACUAAUCCUGGGCAGCAACAGUCCAAUGCAAACACGACUGGGCAGAAGCAGUCCAAUGCAAACAAGACUGGGCAGCAGCAGUCUAAUGCGAACAUGACUGGAGCUGUAGUAAUGGUAACUGAUAUAACUGCAAUUUCGUUGGAGGACAGAAAGUUGCUGGAUGCUUUAGGCAGUCCAAAACCACACAAAAGUGCAUACUCAUCAUUCUCAAAAAUGAUCGGACUGAAGCUAAAAUUUUCAGUGACAAACGUAUAAACCAUGUAGUGCAAAGACACUGAAGAGGCAUGAACCAUUGUGGAUGGUUAUACAAGAUGAAGCUAAUCAAAAACUUGAGGCCAACUUACGCGCUGCCAUCUCCAAAGAAGCAAAAGAGGAUGACUUGAUUNNNNNNNNNNNNNNNNNNNNNNNNNNNNNNNNNNNNNNNNNNNNNNNNNNNNNNNNNNNNNNNNNNNNNNNNNNNNNNNNNNNNNNNNNNNNNNNNNNNNNNNNNNNNNNNNNNNNNNNNNNNNNNNNNNNNNNNNNNNNNNNNNNNNNNNNNNNNNNNNNNNNNNNNNNNNNNNNNNNNNNNNNNNNNNNNNNNNNNNNNNNNNNNNNNNNNNNNNNNNNNNNNNNNNNNNNNNNNNNNNNNNNNNNNNNNNNNNNNNNNNNNNNNNNNNNNNNNNNNNNNNNNNNNNNNNNNNNNNNNNNNNNNNNNNNNNNNNNNNNNNNNNNNNNNNNNNNNNNNNNNNNNNNNNNNNNNNNNNNNNNNNNNNNNNNNNNNNNNNNNNNNNNNNNNNNNNNNNNNNNNNNNNNNNNNNNNNNNNNNNNNNNNNNNNNNNNNNNNNNNNNNNNNNNNNNNNNNNNNNNNNNNNNNNNNNNNNNNNNNNNNNNNNNNNNNNNNNNNNNNNNNNNNNNNNNUGUACUCAAAUCAUGAAAAAUGACUCAAACGAGAGGACUGUCCUACAAUCUUAACAAGUACUGCCAAAACGAAAUACUGAAAAUCCAUCACACCCGGUAGGACCAUUACACGAAUCUAACACAAAGGUGCCCCAUCCAAAUAAUAAUCCAUGGCAUAUACCUCAAGCCACCUUGCUCAAAAUCAAUAACCACGUGAUUCGACAUCAAGUACUCAAAGUGUAUUACUAUAACCACGGAGAAGCAAAUGACAUAACGCCACACAAAACCCGAAUGAGCAUAACCAAUAUGCCAUCCACCAAGCAAUACCCAAUACUUUUCCCGCUCAAAUUUCGCUAUAAGAUUCCAAUAGAACUGCACCAUAUGUGCAUAUAACCAACAAAUCAUAACCCCUCGUAACACAGAAGCGUAGCUCGUAGAUCACUCCAAAACACGAAUAAGCUCAACAACAAUCGAAUGGCACAUCCUUCAACAAUAGCAGUUCGGAGUCAACAAAUCCAACCCGGUGCAGAACACACCUCCAUAUUGGGCGUACCAAUGAACCCCAAAUCAGCUUUGGUCCCCCACGAUAGAUAAAUAACCCUUCGAAAGUCUACAAUAACUGAAUCAUAACACAUACUAACCUCUGACUAACCUUGGCUACUUUUUACAGUCCAAAACCACGAAAUAAUCUACUCACGAGAAUUCCUAUUCUCCAAAUCCAUAGAACAUAUAAAUCACCAUAUCUGAUCUCAAAUCCACCGUUUGAAGGCCCAUACUUCUCCAAUUACACAUUCACCCCACGAGGAAUACUUCUAAAAUUCUUUUAUGCCACAAAGCAAAAUUUGAACUCCAACAGUCAAUCAAACAAGAAAGUGCUGCAAUACCAAUGAAGUAUCCAUAACUCCCACACAUCGCCCUUUCUAAGAUGUAUACUCUCAUCAAGCCAUACCAGUUAGUAAUAUCAUUUACCUAGUCAUCUGAAAUUGUCCAUGCUGCAUAACAAUUUAUGACCUUCUUUUUAGAGCUGAACCGUGACCUUACACAUGCAAAUCUCAACCCUACACAACAUGUCGCAUUGUCACGACCCUGAAACUUGACCCUAUCGUUAAGACAAGGCCAGCCGACACUUUCCCAUUUCAGUUUUAAGCAGUUAAACAUUAAGAAUUAAGUCUAAAACGUAAUAAAUAAUUCAAAAGUAAGCAAUGAACAUUACAGUUUGCGGAAAUAAAACCCAACACAGCCCGAUACCGGGGUGUCACUAGUCAUGAGCAUCUAUCAAUUCUAAUACAAGUAUGAAAAGUCUACGAAACUAUUACAAAGUCACUAAUAAGGGAAAAGAAAUGAGAUGGGGGGGGAGAAAAAUGAGACUAUGGACGCCAAGCAGCUGCCUCGUGAACUUCGAAAUCUAUCGGGACCUCUCAACUCUCGCUAGCAGGAUCAGCAAUGCCUGUAUCUGCACACGGGGUGCAGGGAGUAAAGUGAGUACUCCAACUCAGUGAGUAAUAAUCAUAAAUAAAGACUAAAAGCAAGAAAUCACGUAAGGCACAUUAUAGGCUAUAAGGAAGCAGUAAAGAUGUGUAAAAUUACUGAGUUCANNNNNNNNNNNNNNNNNNNNNNNNNNNNNNNNNNNNNNNNNNNNNNNNNNNNNNNNNNNNNNNNNNNNNNNNNNNNNNNNNNNNNNNNNNNNNNNNNNNNNNNNNNNNNNNNNNNNNNNNNNNNNNNNNNNNNNNNNNNNNNNNNNNNNNNNNNNNNNNNNNNNNNNNNNNNNNNNNNNNNNNNNNNNNNNNNNNNNNNNNNNNNNNNNNNNNNNNNNNNNNNNNNNNNNNNNNNNNNNNNNNNNNNNNNNNNNNNNNNNNNNNNNNNNNNNNNNNNNNNNNNNNNNNNNNNNNNNNNNNNNNNNNNNNNNNNNNNNNNNNNNNNNNNNNNNNNNNNNNNNNNNNNNNNNNNNNNNNNNNNNNNNNNNNNNNNNNNNNNNNNNNNNNNNNNNNNNNNNNNNNNNNNNNNNNNNNNNNNNNNNNNNNNNNNNNNNNNNNNNNNNNNNNNNNNNNNNNNNNNNNNNNNNNNNNNNNNNNNNNNNNNNNNNNNNNNNNNNNNNNNNNNNNNNNNNNNNNNNNNNNNNNNNNNNNNNNNNNNNNNNNNNNNNNNNNNNNNNNNNNNNNNNNNNNNNNNNNNNNNNNNNNNNNNNNNNNNNNNNNNNNNNNNNNNNNNNNNNNNNNNNNNNNNNNNNNNNNNNNNNNNNNNNNNNNNNNNNNNNNNNNNNNNNNNNNNNNNNNNNNNNNNNNNNNNNNNNNNNNNNNNNNNNNNNNNNNNNNNNNNNNNNNNNNNNNNNNNNNNNNNNNNNNNNNNNNNNNNNNNNNNNNNNNNNNNNNNNNNNNNNNNNNNNNNNNNNNNNNNNNNNNNNNNNNNNNNNNNNNNNNNNNNNNNNNNNNNNNNNNNNNNNNNNNNNNNNNNNNNNNNNNNNNNNNNNNNNNNNNNNNNNNNNNNNNNNNNNNNNNNNNNNNNNNNNNNNNNNNNNNNNNNNNNNNNNNNNNNNNNNNNNNNNNNNNNNNNNNNNNNNNNNNNNNNNNNNNNNNNNNNNNNNNNNNNNNNNAGUACUCCAACUCAGUGAGUAAUAAUCAUAAUAAAGACUAAAAGCAAGAAAUCACGUAAGGCACAUUAUAGGCUAUAAGGAAGCAGUAAAGAUGUGUAAAAUUACUGAGUUCAGUUUAAAACUUCAUAAAAUGCCUUUUUAACAGUUAAGCAAGCAAAUGACAGGCAAAUAGGAAAGAUAAACACAUAAUGGAUUGCCCUUCGGGAAAGAUCAUAGAACAACACUAGCCCCUCGGGCUAUUUCUCACAUCACACUGGGUACCUGCGCUCACUGGGGGUGUGCAGACUCCUAGAGGGGCCCCUUACGGCCCAAGAGCAAUAUCAAGCCAUCUUGUGGCAUUAUUACUAGGCUCUCGUGCCAUACAAAUCUCAGGUCCUCGGCCUCAUAAUAAUAAUCAGAUGUUCCUCACAACAUAGGCCCUCGACCUUACUCAGUCAGAAACUCAAAAGCCAUUUGGGCAAUAGUAAAACAUGAUGCUCUGCCUAAAAUAUCAUUUUGAAUGUCAUUUUAAGUGUUAAAGUAGAGUAAACAUGGCUGAGUUUUGGAAAUAGUAGAAUAUAGCAUGAUUGAGUUCAAGUACAAAAUCAAAACAGUGAGGAAAUAUCAAUUAAAAUCCCUUAAGGGUUCAAAUAAUUGGCACCAAGUCCAACUAUGGCGUUCAGCCCAAAACAUGAUGAUAGCAAAUAGUUUUCAGUCAAAUACGCGGUAAAAUAGUCAUUCGGGAUGGACUAAGUCACAAUCCCCAACAGUGUACGACCGCACGUUUGUCAUCUAGCGUGUGCGUCACCUCAAUAUAGCACAACGAUGUACAAUCCGGGGUUUCAUACCCUCAGAACAUCAUUUACAAUCAUUACUCACCUCAAUCCGGUCCAAACUCUAGCCCGCGAUGCCUUUGCCCCUCGAAUCGGCCUCCACUCGUGUCGAAUCUAUCCAAAAUCAGAAUCACGGUGUCAAAAUAUGCUAAGGGAACGAAGCUCAAGCGAAAAUACUCAAUUUACAACUUAAAUCCCGAAAUUAUCAAAAUUCGACCCCCGGGCUCACAUCUCGAAAUUCGAUAAAAUUCACAUCAAUGGAUUCCUUAUCUCCCCCACGAGUUCAUACAUAUCAAAAAGUACCAAAAUCCGACCACAAAUGGUCCCUCAAAUCCUCAAGUCUAGGUCUCCAAUACCAAGCCCUAGUUUCCCCAAUUUUUAACCCUUAAAUUCCAUUAAUUAUAGCUCUAAUCCAUGAUAUAAUUAGGUCCAAAAUCGCCCUAAACUCCAGAAUUCGUAUUAAAAAAUGGUGAAACCCUCUGAAAAUUGUGAAGGAAGGAAUAUAUACAUUCUGACCUAGGCAUUUUCGCACUUGCGGUCUAUCCACCGCAUCUGCGGUACCGCUUUUGCGGUCCAAGAGCCGCUUCUGCGGUUAUUCACUUAUUCCCCAACUUCCGCAUCUGCGAUGAACAGUCCGCACCUAUGCCACCGCAGGUGCGGUCCCACAACCGCUUCUGCGGUUCCUGCAAACUUCACCAUCUUCCGAUUCUCUAACAAAUCUUCCACAUUUGCGGUGUCACACCUGCGGUCCCCAAUCCGCAGGUGCGGAAACAACAGAAGCAGCAAAAAUCUGCAGCUCCUUCAAACUCCCAAACUCUUUGUCAACCAUCUGAAAUCACCCUGAUGCACCCGGGACCCCAACCAAAAACACAAACAUACCCCAUAACCUUAUUCAAACUUAUAUCAAUCUUCAAAACACCUCAAACAACAUCAAAUCAACCAAAACUCAUCGGAUUCAAGCCUAAGUUUCCAAAAUCUUCCGAAUUCCGCUUUUNNNNNNNNNNNNNNNNNNNNNNNNNNNNNNNNNNNNNNNNNNNNNNNNNNNNNNNNNNNNNNNNNNNNNNNNNNNNNNNNNNNNNNNNNNNNNNNNNNNNNNNNNNNNNNNNNNNNNNNNNNNNNNNNNNNNNNNNNNNNNNNNNNNNNNNNNNNNNNNNNNNNNNNNNNNNNNNNNNNNNNNNNNNNNNNNNNNNNNNNNNNNNNNNNNNNNNNNNNNNNNNNNNNNNNNNNNNNNNNNNNNNNNNNNNNNNNNNNNNNNNNNNNNNNNNNNNNNNNNNNNNNNNNNNNNNNNNNNNNNNNNNNNNNNNNNNNNNNNNNNNNNNNNNNNNNNNNNNNNNNNNNNNNNNNNNNNNNNNNNNNNNNNNNAACACAUUCUGAUCACGCUUCUAAGUCCCAAAUCACCUCUCGAAGCAAUCCUAAUCAUCGGAAUUCACAUCCUAGACCUCUAACACAUAAGCCAACAUCCAAUUGACUUUUCCAACUUAAACUUCUUCAAAAGAUACCGGUGUCUCAAACCUUCUCAAAACCUUUCCGAACCCGAGCCAACCAACCCGAUCACUCAUAGAACCAAUAGACAAAGCAAUUAGAAGCAGAAAUGGGGGAAACAGAGCAGUAACUCAUGAUACAACUGGCCGACUUUUCACAUCCUCCCCAACUUAAAUAAACAUUCGUCCUCGAAUGAGUCAAGAAACAUACCUGAAGCUGCAAACAGGUGAGGAUAUCUGCUUCGCAUCUCCCUUUAGGUCUCCCAGGCAGCCUCCUUCACGGUCCGACCUCUCCACUGCACUUUCAUUGAAGCUAUAUCUUUUCACCUCAACUUUCGAACCUGACGACCCAAAAUAGCUACUAGCUCCACAUCAUAGGUUAAAUCACCAUCCAACUGAACCGUGCUGAAAUCCAGAACAUGAGACGGAUCCCUAAUAUACUUCCGAAGCAUGGAAACAUGAAAUACUGGAUGCACACUCGACAAGCUGGGUGGCAAAGCAAGCUCAUAUGACACCUCCCCAAUCCUCGAAAGCACCUCAAAAGGCCCAAUGAACCGAGGACUCUAUUUACCUUUCUUCCCAAAUCUCAUAACACCCUUCAUGGGUGAAACCUUCAACAGAUCCUUCUCACCAACCAUGACGGAUACAUCCCGAACCUUCCUGUCAGCAUAACUCGAAUAUACUGUACAAAGUCUCGAAUGUGCUGUACAAAGUCUCUCCUAAAUCACCUUCACCUUGUCUAAAGCAUCCUGCACCAAGUCUGUCCCCAAUAGCCUAGCCCCACCUGGCUCAAACCAACCAAUGGGAGAUCUAUACUGCCUCCCAUACAACGNNNNNNNNNNNNNNNNNNNNNNNNNCCUCAUAUGGAGCCAUCUAAAUACUCGACUGGUAGUUGUUGUUAUAAGCAAACUCUGCAAGCGGCAGAAAAUGAUCCCAUGACCCUCCAAAAUCAAUGACACAAGCACGCAACAUGUCCUCCAAUAUGUGAAUAGUGUGCUCAGACUGCUCGUCCGUAUGAGGGUGAAAAGUUGUGCUCAACUCAACCUGAGUACCCAACUCUCGUUGCACAGACCUCCAAAACUGUGAAGUAAACUGACUGCCCCUAUCUGAAAUGAUGGAAACUGGGACACCAUGCAAACGAACAAUUUUCCGGAUAUAGAUCUCUGCCAACCGCUCUGAAGAAAAGGUAGUACACACAGUAAUGAAGUGCGCGGACUUGGUCAGCCAAUCCACAAUCACCCAAAUAGCAUCGAACUUCUUCAAAGUCCAUGGAAGUCCAACUACAAAACCCAUAGUGAUCCUCUCCCACUUCCACUCUGGAAUAUCCAUCCGCUGAAGCAAGCUACCCGGUUUCUGAUGCUCAUAUUUCACCUACUGACAAUUGAGACACCGAGCUGCAAAUCCCACAAUGUCUUUCUUCAUUCUCCUCCACCAAUAAUAUUAUCUCAGAUCCCGAUACAUCUUCACGACAUAUGAAUGAAUGGAAUACCGCGAGCUAUGGGCUUCUUCCAAAAUCAACUCCCGAAGCCCAUCUACAUUUUGCACACAUAUCCGACCCUGCAUCCUCAACACCCCAUCAUCGCCAAUAGUCACAUCUGUGGUAUCAUCGUGCUGAACUCUAUCCUUAAGGACAAGCAAAUAUGGAUCAUCAUACUAGCGCUCUCAGAUGCGAUCAUAUAAGGAAGACCGAGAAAUCGCACAAGCCAAUACCCGACUGGGCUCCAAAAUAUCCAACCUCACGAACCGUUGGCCAAGGCCUGAACAUCAACUGCAAGAGGUCUCUCCCCCACUAGAAUAUAUGCCAAGCUUCCCAUACUUACCGUCUUUCGGCUCAAAGCAUCGACCACCAUAUUGGCCUUCCACGGAUGGUACAAUAUAGUAAUAUCAUAAUCCUUUAGCAACUCCAACCAUCUCCGCUACCUCAAAUUGAGAUCCUUUUGCUUGAACAAGUGCUGGAGGCUACGAUGAUCAGUAAACACCUCACAAGACACACCAUACAAGUAAUGCCUCCAAAUCUUCAAUGUGUGAACUAUGGCAGCCAACUCCAAAUUAUGAACGGGGUAGUUCUUCUCAUGGGGUUUCAACUAAUGAGAAUCAUAAGCAAUAACUCUACCCUCCUACAUCAACACACACCCAAUACCAACUCUCGAAGCACCACAAUACACGGUAUAUGAACCUGAAGCUGGUGGCAAAACUAACACUGUAGUUGAGGUCAAGGUUGUCUUGAGCUUCUGAAAGCUCUCCUCACAUUCAUCUGACCACACAAAUGAAGCACCCUUUUGAGUCAACUUGGUCAAGGGCGAUGUGAUAGAUGAGAAACCCUAAACAAACUGGUAAUAAUAACCCUCCAAACCAAGAAAGCUAUGAAUCUCUAUGGCUGAGGACAGUCUAGGCCAACUCUAAACCGCUUCUAUCUUUUUCGGAUCAACUUGAAUACCCUUGGCGGACACCACAUGCACCAAGAAAGCCACUGAACUGAACCAAAACUCACACUUGGAGAAUUUUGCAUAAAGCUUCUCCUUCCUCAAUCUCUGCAACACAACUCUCAAAUGCUCCACGUGCUCCUCCUGACUACGCAAAUACACCAGAAUAUCAUCAAUGAAGACUACGACAGACAAGUCGAAAUAAGGCCAGAACACGUUGUUCAUCAAAUGCAUGAACGCUGUUGGGGCAUUGGUCAACCCAAAAGACAUCACCAAGAACUCAUAAUGACCAUAUCGGGUCCUAAAAGUUGUCUUAAGAAUAUUCGAGUCCCUGAUCUUCAACUAGUGAUAACUUGAACGGAGAUCAAUCUUGGAGAAUACUCUCGCUCCCUGAAGAUGGUCGAAUAAUCAUCAAUGCGAGGCAAAGGAUACUUUUUCUUAAUUGUUACUUUGUUCAAUUGCCUAUAAUCAAUGAACAUCCUCAUAGUUCCAUCCUUCUUCUUCACAAAUAGAACUAGUACACCCCAAGGUGACACAAUAGGCCGAAUGAACCCCUUAUCAAGGACUUCCUGAAGCUACUCCUUUAACUCCUUCAACUUCGUUGAUGCCAUACAAUAUAGUGGAAUAGAAAUGGGCUGAGUGCCCGGCACCAGAUCAAUACCAAAGUUAAUAUCCAUGUCUGAUGGCAUGCCCGGCAAGUCUGCAGGAAACACAUCGGGAAAAUCCCUUACAACUGGAACAGAAUCAAUACUAGGAGUCUCUGCACUGACAUCCCUCACAAAGGCUAGAUACGAAAGACAACCCUUCCCAACCAUAUGCUAGGCUUUCAAGAAUGAGAUCACUCUACUAACCUCGCCACUCAAUCUAUGGCACACUCGGUAUAGCCAAUGUGACUGUCUUGGCAUGACAAUCCAGAAUAGCACGACACGAAGAUAACCAAUCCAUGUCCAAAAUGACAUCGAAAUCCACCAUACACAAUAAUAAAAGAUCCACUCGGAUCUCCAGACCCCCAAUAGUCACCAUACACAACUGGUGCAUACAGUAUACAACAACAGUAUCGCCCACCGAGGUAGAUACAUGAACAGGUGAAGCAAGAGACUCACGGGGUGUACCCAAAUAACGAGAAAAGUAUGAUGACACAUAAAAAAAGGUGGAACCGGUAUCAAAUAAUACAGAGCCAUCUCUGUGACAGACUGAAACAAUACCUGAGAUAACAGCAUUGAAAGCAAUAACAUCGGGUCUAGCUGGAAGUGCAUAGAAACGGGCCUGACCGGAACUUGAUCGACCUCCCCCUCUAGGGCGACCCCUAGCUGACUGACCUCCACCCCUAGUUGACUGGGUGGGUGAUGAUGAAGUAACUGGUGCUGAAGCUGAUGACUGACCCCUCUGCUGAGAUGGACCCGCAAGACGACAAGGAUACUGCCUCCAUAUGCGACCCAUCUCUCCACACUCAUAGCAGCUCCCAGGUGUUGGAGAAGGGGACUGAAGGGAACCCCUAGCACCGGAAUGACUAGCUGAUGCACCUGGCAUAGAAGAGCCCUGAACCGAUGGAGCACGGGACAAACUCUAAGUUGGAAGGGCACUAAGUGAUAACUGUCCCUGAUGAGAACUGUGAGAACCAUGACCUAAUGACGCCCCACGAUAACUUGGGCAAGUUGGUUGAGCAUGCCUGAAUGGACGACCUCUGCUGUGCUGAAACUGGCAUCUCGAAGGAGCACCACUAUAACUACCAGAUCCUCGAGGCCUCUUGGCUUCCCUCUCCUCUCGCUCCUAGCAACGAACAGACUCAAUCUCACGAGCAAUGUCCAUAACCUCCUCGAAAGUAGCAUCAGUCACCCUCUCUCUGGUCAUGAGAAUAUGAAGCUAAUAAGUGAGGCCAUCAACAAACAUCCUUAUCCUCUCUCUAUCUAUCGGAAGCAACCAAAUCGCAUGAAGAGCUUACUCUGAGAACCUCAUUUCAUAUAGCAUCACAGUCAUCUCUCCCUAAUGCAACCACUCAAACUGCCGGUGUUGCUCCUCUCUACAAGACUGCAGAACAUACUUCUCAGUUCUCAGAACUAUUGCCAGGUAAGGGGUGCUGCACCAAUAGGCCUACGCCUCUCAAAUGCCUCCCACCAAGUGAAAGCAGCUCCAUAAAACUGAUAAGUAGUGAAAGCGACCCCACUGGUCUCCAGAAUACCCGUUGUAUGAAGCAUCCUCUGACACUUAUCUAAGAAACCCUAGGCAUUCUCGCCCUCUGCACCACUAAAGGUCAGAGGCUGAAGUCUACCAAACCUCUCCAACCUACGCUGCUCGUCCUCUUGUAUGGCAAGAACUACAUAGUCCUGAGCAGCUGCAACCGGCUGGACUAGAUGUGCCCCCGGCAUCUGAAGUCCCUGCAUGACCUGCUCAGGUGUGCGAGUGGUGGGAGUCUAAUUGCCUCCCCUGGCCUGAGAAGUAGUUGCGGCUGUAGUGACUGAAACCGCCUGAGCUAGGCCCGUGCAAACUGAUAAGAACUUAGCCAAGCCCUCCUGAAGACCCGGAAUCACAAUGGGCACAACUAGUGCCUGAGCUGGUGCUGUUGAAGUGUCCACAACUGGGAACUGAUCCUGAACUGGGGCGGCUGGAGGAUCUGCAAGUGCUGCCCUAGCUGCUGUGCGGGCCACACCUCUGCCCCAACCGCGACCACGACUGCAUCCUCGGCCUCUAGUGGCCACCACUGGUGGUACUGGUGGUCGUCUAUCCUGACUGGUAGCACGUGUCCUCACCAUUUGUGAGAGAAUAAAAUAACAGAUGUUUAGUACCCGGAUCAACCAAUUCGCACGACAAAAAAUUCAAGAAUAUGAAGUUUUUUCCUAAAGGUUCUGCAGCCUCUCGAGGAUAAAUACAGACAUCUCCGUACCGAUCCGCAAGACUCUACUAAACCUGCUCAUGACUAGCGAAACCUAUGUAACCUAGGCUCAGAUACCAACUUGUCAUGACCCUAAACCCGGACUCGGUCGUGAUGGCGCCUCUCGUGAAGACAAGGCCAGCCGAUACUUUCCCAUUUCAGUUUUGAGUAGUUAAACAUUAAAAAUUAAGUCUAAAAAGUAAUAAAUAAUCCAAAAGUAAGUAGUGAACAUUAUAGUUUACAAAAAUAAAAACCAACACAGCCCGAUAUCGGGCUAUCACUAGUCAUGAGCAUCUAUCAAUUCUAGUACAAGUCUGAAAAGUCUACGAAACUAUUACAAACUCACUAAUAAGGGAAAAGAAAUGAGAUAAAAGGGGGGGGGGAGAAACACGGGACUGCAGACACCAAACAACUACCUCAUGAACUCUAAAAUCUGUCGGGAGCUCUCAACUCUUGCUAGCAGGAUCAGCAAUGCCUGAAUCUGCACACGGGGUGUAGAGAGUAAAGUGAGUACUCCAACUCAGUUAGUAAUAAUCAUAAAUAAAGACUGAAAGCAAGAAAUCACGUAAGGCACAUUAUAGGCUAUAAGGAAGUUGUAAAGAUGUGUAAAAUUACUGAGUUCAGUUUAAAACAUCAUAAAAUACCUUUUUAACAGUUAAGCAAGCAACUGACAAGCAAAUAGGAAAGAUAAACACAUAAAGGAUCGCCCCUCGGGCAAGAUCAUAGAACAACACCAGCCCCUCGGGCAAUCUCUCACAUCACACUAGGUACCCACACUCACUGAGUAUGUGCAAACUCCUAGAGGGGCCCCUUACGGCCCAAGUGCAAUAUCAAGCCAUCUCGUGGCAUCAUUACUAGGCUCUCGGCCUCAUAUCAACAAGCCACCUCGUGGUGUACAAAUCUCAGGCCCUCAGCCUGAUAAUAAUAAUCAGAUGUUCCUCACAACAUAGGCUAUCAGCCCUACUCAGUCAGAAUCUCAAAAGCCACUCGGGCAAUAGUAAAACAUGAUGCUCAGCCCAAAUUAUCAUUUGGAAUGUCAUUUAAGUGUUAAAGCAAAGUAAACAUGGCGGAGUUUUGGAAAUGGUAGAAUAUAGCAUGACUGAGUUCAAGUACAAAAUCAAAACAGUGAGGAAAUAUCAAUAAAAAUCCCCUAAGGGUUCAAAUAGUUGGAACGAAGCCCAAAUAUGGCGUUCAGCCCAAAACAUGAUGAUAGCAAAUAGUUUUCAGUCAAAUACGUGGUAAAAUAGUCAUUCGAAAUGGACUAAGUCACAAUCCCCAACAGUGCAUGACCCCACACUCGUCAUCUAGUAUGUGCGUCACCUCAAUAUAGCACAACAAUGUGCAAUCCGGGGUUUCAUACCCUCAGAACAUCAUUUACAAUUAUUACUCACCUCAAUCCGGUCCAAACUCUAGCCUGCGAUGCCUUUGCCCUUCGAAUUGUCCUCCACUCGUGUCGAAUCUAUCCAAAAUCAGAAUCACGACAUCAAAAUAUGCUAAGGGAACGAAUCCCAAGCGAAAAUAAUCAAUUUACAACUUAAAUCCCGAAAAUACCAAAACCCGACCCCCGGGCCCACGUCUCGAAAAUCGAUAAAAUUCACAUCAAUGGAUUCCUUAUCUCCCCACAAGUUUAUACAUAUCAAAAAGCACAAAAAUCCGACCACAAAUGGUCCCUCAAAUCCUCAAGUCUAGGUAUCCAAUACCAAGCCCUAGUUUCCCCAAUUUUUAACCCUUAAAUUCCAUUAAUUAUAGCUCUAAUCCGUGAGAUAAUACCAUAGGAACGAGUUUUAGAUCCAAAAUCCUUACCUCAAUGAAGUCUCUUUGAAAUCUCUCUUCAAAAUCGCCCAAAACUCGAGAAUUCGCGUUUAAAAUGGUGAAACCCUCUGAAAAUCACGGAGGAAGGAAUAUAUACAUUCUGACACAGGCAUUGUCGCACCUGCGGUCAAUCCACCGCAUCGACGGUACCGCUUUUGCGGUCCAAGAGCCGCUUAUGCAGUUAUUCACUUAUUCCCCAGCUUCCGCAUUUGCGAUGAACAGUCUGCACCUGCGCCACCACAGGUGCGGUCCCAUAACUGCUUCUGCGGUUCGUGCCAACAUCACCAUCUUCCACUUAUGCGACCAAUCUUCUGCAUUUGCGGCGUUGCACCUGCGGUCCCCAAUCCGCAUGUGCGGAAACAACAGAAGCAGCAAAAAUAUGCAGCUCCUCCAAACUCCCAAACUCUCCGUCAACCAUCCGAAAUCACGCCCGAGGCCCCUGGGACCUCAACCAAAAACAAAAACAUACCCCAUAACCUUAUUCAAACUUAUACCAAUCUUUAAAACACCUCAAACAACAUCAAAUCAACGAAAACUCAUUGGAUUCAAGCCUAAGUUUCCAAAAUCUUCUGAGUUCCGCUUUUGANNNNNNNNNNNNNNNNNNNNNNNNNNNNNNNNNNNNNNNNNNNNNNNNNNNNNNNNNNNNNNNNNNNNNNNNNNNNNNNNNNNNNNNNNNNNNNNNNNNNNNNNNNNNNNNNNNNNNNNNNNNNNNNNNNNNNNNNNNNNNNNNNNNNNNNNNNNNNNNNNNNNNNNNNNNNNNNNNNNNNNNNNNNNNNNNNNNNNNNNNNNNNNNNNNNNNNNNNNNNNNNNNNNNNNNNNNNNNNNNNNNNNNNNNNNNNNNNNNNNNNNNNNNNNNNNNNNNNNNNNNNNNNNNNNNNNNNNNNNNNNNNNNNNNNNNNNNNNNNNNNNNNNNNNNNNNNNNNNNNNNNNNNNNNNNNNNNNNNNNNNNNNNNNNNNNNNNNNNNNNNNNNNNNNNNNNNNNNNNNNNNNNNNNNNNNNNNNNNNNNNNNNNNNNNNNNNNNNNNNNNNNNNNNNNNNNNNNNNNNNNNNNNNNNNNNNNNNNNNNNNNNNNNNNNNNNNNNNNNNNNNNNNNNNNNNNNNNNNNNNNNNNNNNNNNNNNNNNNNNNNNNNNNNNNNNNNNNNNNNNNNNNNNNNNNNNNNNNNNNNNNNNNNNNNNNNNNNNNNNNNNNNNNNNNNNNNNNNNNNNNNNNNNNNNNNNNNNNNNNNNNNNNNNNNNNNNNNNNNNNNNNNNNNNNNNNNNNNNNNNNNNNNNNNNNNNNNNNNNNNNNNNNNNNNNNNNNNNNNNNNNNNNNNNNNNNNNNNNNNNNNNNNNNNNNNNNNNNNNACUAUUGCAACUCUCAGAAUUCCAUUCCGUCCCCUAUAUCAAAAUCUCACCUAUCAACCGGAAAACGCCAAAAAUCCAAUUUCGCCAAUUCAAGCCUAAAUCUACUCCGAACCUCCAAAAUACAUUCUGACCAUGCUCCUAAGUCCCAAAUCACCUCCCGAAGCUAUCCAAAUCAUCGGAAUUCACAUCCGAGCCCUUUAACACAUAUGUCAAUAUUCGGUUGACUUUUCCAACUUAAACUUCCUAAAAAGAGACUAAGUGUUUCAAAACCUUUCCGAAUUCGAGCCAGCCAACCCAAUCACUCAUAGAACCGAUAGACAAAGCAAUAAGAAGCAAAAAUGGGAGAAAUAAAGCGGUAACUCAUGAGACAACUGUCUGGGUCGUCACACGCAUAUACCAUUCCAUCCCAUGAUAAAUAUGAGAACUUCAUAAUCCACUCCGAGUCACAAGAAAGUACGUACUCAACUAGCCAAGAACUUUCCAUUUGAUCCUAUCUAGGAGAAAAUUACUAUACAUCACAUGCUCCUCACGCCAGUAGAAGAUAUACCUCUCCAACCGCUAGAACUGAAUCCUUCUAACCUAACCAAGCCACGCAGGUCAUCGAAACUCAAGAGCAUUGCCACGAAAUAAAUGUAGAAACCCAUUACCUCAUAAACACCCAAAGAACUAAUCAUACCCAUUACCAUGUCGAUCCAACCUACUACCAAGUUGUCCUAUCUAUCUGAGUUCCUUCUUAAUUGCAUUCACAUUGAUACUUCUCCUCGCUAUAAUACCUCAAUCCCCAACCCAUACUCACCAUACGAGACCCUAACAUAAACCACACUGCCCUAAGGAUCAUAAGCCGUUGAAUGCUCUCUUAAGCACCCCAAAAGUACCACAAUCGAAAUACCCACUCAGAAGCGACCUUCUGUGAAUUUCAAGUUGUUCAUCUUACUUUUAUGAUACUGAUAUGUAGAAUCCACAAUGACAUAGAAAUACUACAAGCCUCGACACCAUCCAAUGUAACUCUCAUCUUCUAACCACAUACAAACCCGCAAAAUUUCUCAAUUUUCACAUAUAAAUCUUGAAUUCAUUAGAAUCAUUCUCGAGAGUUAUCCACUCUGCUCAAAUAUCAAUUAGACUAAUCAAAUGGGUUGAUCGACCUGUGCCCCAUUAGCACUCUAGCACCCAAGGAUGUAACCCCACCUUAAUGCAACCAGAUAAAUUUUUGCUCCACACACAUUACAUCCUUCACCAAUAACAACUCAAAUCAUUUCAUGAUUCUCAUAUACUCAUAAAACCUAAUACAACUCGUAUUCGGAAAUUCUCUUUACUCGAGUCAUCCUUAAUCUCAACCUCUAAAACUCAUAACUGAUUCACCAGUAUACCUCAAACUGAAACUAAUACGACACUUAGCCAUGUAAUCAACUUAUCAAUAGCAAACUCCUCCACUUGGCUCAAAGCCAUAGAUCAAAACACAUAAAAACUCAUAUUGCUCAUACUCUAUUACUGUUAUAAUACCAUAGUGAGAUUAAACUAAACUCAUGAUUCUUGCAUUCACACUUGUAAUAGUCAAGCCCACUCUCAUAAGUGAUCCGAACUCAAGUUGCAAUACACAUAUUUCACUGGUAAAAGAGGACUUCCAACAAACAACAUAGGGAUCACACACCCUCAAGACACUCCACAGGAGAUAACCCACCUGCUUCGCCUCAAACUAACAUCUCUUCAUACCCUUCCACUGUGAUAAACAUCACGCAAUCACUUAAUCUUCCUGAGUUUGAACUCAUAUCAUGACAUGAAAUCUACUUCACUCCGUAACUAAACAACAUGAAAAGAUCCUUCAACACACCCAUAACUCGGGGCUAUUCAUCAAAUCAAGAUGGAAACAAGCACCAAAUAGUUCUUUCUACCCUCAAGAAGACCCUUCUCAUCACAUUCAAAUCAUAUGAACACAUCUCGCAAACACAUCAUACUCAUCACGUAGCCAUCCAGACAUCACUUCCUCUAAUAGGGACACUACCAAACAUAUAAAUCCAUAAGCAUGCACUCACAUAAUCAAAACCUCAGUGCUCAGCUACAGGCAAAGCCCAGCCUCAAGUCCUCCAGACUGGCCCAAUAUCAACACACAGAAAUCACAUCUCACCCCUUGUUCAGGGAAUCACAAGCCGUGGAUACACAUCUGAUUCUGAACUCUAGAAGGAAUUCAAAGAGUUACAUUUCAAGCUGAAUUAAUGUCGCACGAUAAGAAUUCAAGAAUGUGGGAUUUCUUAAAGGUUCUGCAGCCUCUCGAAGAUAAAUACAAACGUCUCUAUACCAAUCUGUGAGACUCUACUAAACCUGCUCAUGACUCAUGAGACCUAUGUAACCUAGGCUAUGAUACCAACUUGUCACGAUCCAAAUUUACCAUGUCGUAAUGGCGCCUAUCGUGGUACUAGGCAAGCCGACACAUUACCAAAACCAAUCAAUAUUCUCAUUCUUAAGAUAAAUCAAAUCUAUUUAAGAAUAAACCCUCAUAAAAUGUUUAAAUCAAACAAUAGUGCAGAAAUAAAAGUCCGACAUCGGGGUGUCACUAGUCAUAAGCAUCUACUAAGAACUGUCCGAUAAUAAUAAGACUACUACAAUCUGGAAACCUACUAAUAACAUUUAUAGGAAGAUAAGAGGACGAAGAGCAGGGCUGCGAUCGCCAUGCAACUACCUUGCUAACUCCAACAGAUCUGCGACGGAUGAAAAUCACGUCCAGCAUCCCCUGGAUCUGCACACAAGGUGUAGGGAGUAAUGUGAGUACGAGCAAUAAAAUAUAUACAGUUCAUAUCAUGAAAUCUCAGUAGAAUAUAGCAGGCUUUUAAACAGGAUUUUCAACUCAGCUCAUUUAAACCCAAUUUCAGUAAAACCAUUUAAAACAUCUUUCAACAGUUUCAAACGAAGUGAUAAAACAGUGAGUAAAAAUGAUGAAAACAUAAUCAGCCCCUCGGGCAAAAGUCACUCGUAUACAUCCCCUUGGGCAACAUAAAUUAUAAAUAGCCCCUCGGACAAGCAUCACUCGUAUAUAGCUCCUCGUUCAAUCAUGAAUCAUAAAUUUCCCCUCGGGAAAACAUCACUGUCACUCAUAUACAACCCCUCGGGAAUAACUCACAAUCACUCGUAAACAGCCCCUCGGGCAUAAGAUAAAUCAAGAACAACCCCUCAGACAAAACAUCAUAUCACUCACUCAGGGUACCCGCGCUCACUAUGGGUGUACAGACUUCGGAGGGGCUCUUACUACCCAAGCGCUAUAAUAAGCCACCUCGCGCAUAAAUCAAUCAGGAUCUCGGCCUCAUAAUAAGCCACCUCAUGGCAUAAAUCAAUCAAGCCCUCAUCCUCACAAAAUCAUGAAUCAGUAAAAACAUACUGCGACAUGCAACCCGAUCCCAUAAAUAUCCUCACAAAAUAGGCCCUCGGCCUCACUUAGUCAUAAACCUCUCAUGUCACUCCAGCUAUCAAUAAAAUAGGGUGCUCAGCACAAAAUAACAUUUUAUGCAUCAAAACGGAGUAAUAAAGAUUUAGUCAUUAAAUCAGUAAGUAUAAUAUGGGUGAGUGUAGAUUUUCAAUCAAAAACAUUGAGAGGAUAGUAAAGGCCCCUAAUGGUCCAAACAGCUCUGGCACAAGGCUCAAACAUGGCAUUCAGCCCAAUUUACAGAAACUCUUUCCAAAAUACAUAAGUAUCAUAUAGUUUCAACCAAAUACGCAACUUAUAGUUUCUAUGGGACGGAUCAAGUCACAAUCCCCAACAGUGCAUGCCUACACGCCCGUCACCUAGCAUGUGUGUCACCUCAAAGUAGUAAAACAAUGUGAAAUUCGGGGUUUCAUACCAUCAGGACUAGAUUUACAAUCAUUACUUACCUCAUACAAGCCAAUUCCAAUACCGAGCAAGCAAGCGAUGCUCCAAAAAAUCCAUCUCGCGCAUUCCGACCUCUGAACGGCUCAAAACUAACCAAAAACAACUCACAUACAUCAAACAACGCUAAAUCAACCAAUCCCAAUAGAAAAAGGUCAAAUCUUUAAUUAAAAGCCCAAAAUCGGCAAAAAAGUCCAACCCGGGUCCGCAUCUUGGAACUCUACAAAACACAUAUAAUCCGAUAACUCAUUCAAUUAUGAGUCCAACCAUACUAGUUUCAUCUAAUUCCAACUCCGAAUCGAUGCUUAAAACUUAAAAUUUCACUUUAUGAAACAUUAGGCAAAAACCCCCAAAUUUCACGUUGAAAUCAUCAAUCAAAUGCCAAAAAUAACGACGGAAUCAUGAAAUAAAACAAAAAUCGAUUAAAGAAUACAUACCCAAUACAUAUGGUGAAAAUCACCUCCAAAAUUGCCCAAAUCCGAGCUCCCCAACUCAAAAUAUGACCAAAUGAACAAACUCUUGUUUUAUAUAUUUUUCUGCCAGCUAUUCUGCCUCGUUUCUCGUGCAAAACAAUCCCAAAACUCGCUUUUGAUUUCUCCCAUGGAUUUCUUGUAAAAUUUUAGUCAAGUUAGGCUCUUGAAUUUCUUUAAUUGACCUUAUAUUAAAGGAGAUAUGUUGGUUUUAAUAUUUGAAAAUAGUGCAGAUUUUUAAACACGAAUUCAGUUGCAAUUUCAUAAUUAAUCUGAAAUAAAUCUGGCAAUCCAAUUCUUAGUAAAAUGACCAUAAAUUCCUCAUACGAUAUAAAAAUUCGAUAAUUCAUUAUGGUAUGGCUCUGUAAUUAUGAUACGGAUCUAAUGCUUCAAUAAAAAUAGAAAUCGAAGCUCAUUUGCUUAAUGUAGUACCAUUUAUGCUAGAAAAACGAUGUCGAAACAUCAAAAACUAGCGCAACAGAACUCAAACCUAUCCGAAACUCACCUGAGCCCCUUGGGACCCAGUUCGAACAUACGAACAAGUCCCGUAUCAUAACACAGACCAACUUGAAGCCUCAAAACAACAUAACAACAUCAAAACGAUGAAUCACACCUCAAUUCGAAAUCAAUGAACUUUAAACUUCCACAACCGAUGCCGAAACCUAUCAAAUCAUGUCCGAUUGACUUCAAAUUUGCACAUAAGUCUCAUUUGACAUUAUGAACCAUCCCCAACUUCUGAAAUCGGAAUCUGACCCCAAUAUCAAAAGUCCACUCCCGGUCAAACUUUCCAAAAUUUCAACUUUCGCUAUUUCAAGCCAAAUUCUACUACAUACCUCCAAAUCAUAAUUCGAAUGCGCUCCCAAAUCCAAAAUCACCCAACGAAGCUAACGAAACCAUCAUAAAUCCAAUCUGAUAUCAAAUUUGUUUACCGUGAAAAUGGUAACAAUAAUUAAAUUUGUAAAUGGGAUUCUAAAAAUACGUGAUCUAUUCCCAAGCUAGUUGUUAGAGCAGUUGAUGCUAAGAACGUGAAACUUAACGAUGAAAUUCGAGCUAAAACAAGACAGUAAUCAAACCGAAUGGGCCUGUUGCCCGGAUGCAAAGCCGGUCGAUAAGGACCUCGGGGUCGGGACUCAAAUCGAGCUCGAGCUAUCGGGGGCAACCCGGAAUAGGAUAACAAUUAUGGAUACGAUCAAGCAAGGCUCUUUACGGCCAAAGUUGCGCAAUAUAGCAUGAAAUAGGUAAGAAUACAAUAAAUGUUAAAGCGGCCUCGAGCCAGUCAGAACGAACAAAAUAGGAGAAAGAGAGAGAGAGAUAUUAUUACUUUUGUGAAGAAAUGGAGCAACAUCAGCCAUUUACAAAGUGGUAUGGGUUCCCCUUAUAUAAGCGAGGGAACACGGUAUGGUACAAAUAUGUGGAGAUUAAACACAAAGUACGGAGUUGGGAUAGUUUGACGUGAUGCCUCAACAUAGGCUCUGGAUAGGUGGGGCCUGUCAGACGUAGCCAUGUGCCUUGGGGGCUUCCCCCUCCGUCCUGGCUUUGGUCUUUGUUUCCUCCGAUUCGGGCUCUGACAAGCCCCGAGGUCAAGAACUUGGUCGUAGCCUCCCGCCCUCGGGGUCCCAAGGCAUGCUUCCGAAAUGUCCUGACAGCGAGAAAUCAAGUCUUUUGCUUUGUCGCAUACAGAUAGUCUCCAUGUUUCCCAUAAUGAAGAGAUGGGAAAUGAUUAUGACACUAGACUCCUCGAGCUUCUUUCAGCGACGACACAUCGAUGAUGCGACUCCUGGCCUGAGCUUCGCGGUGAUUGGACAUCCACGUGCCCGUGCUUUUCAACUUCAUUCAUUACGCUCCUGAUUCUCAUUUUUCAAUGUGAAGGUACCGCCGUUGGUUCGAUUUUCCAUGGAUGCAUUAACUACGCCCGUCGGUCAAUCUUCCAAAGCCUAGAUGACCGUGUCGUAAUCUCCUAUAAAUGGGGUGCCUUGGCUUUGCUCUUCCCAUCUUAGUGAAUCCAUUGGCUCGCUUGCCUUUCCCUUUCCAUCAUCUUCUUUCACCUCUGAACAUCAAGCUGGCCCGAGUCAAUGGGGGACGGGGAGUCGGUUUCUCCUUUAUGCAGAUAGCCAUUUAGAUUGUGCACCGCUCCUCAAAAGGGGGCUCGGAUUAUACACCGUCGCUCACCUUCAUACCCCGGCUCGACGUGGUGCUCUGCUUCGAGUUGGGGGCUUGCAUGGCUAGACAUUCCAAGAAGUGGAUUCAAAGUAGCCGUGCAAGUGGGACUGAGGAUUGUUCGGUCCGUUGUCUCUCUGAGGCUUCUUUCGCCAAAAAGGGUCCUCGAGCUUCGGAGAGUUAUGGAAUUUUUUCAUCCCUCCCUGCUACUCACCUUGUCCCCAGGGGAUGUCAGUGUGGAAAGUUGGGAUAAAACUCCCGAGGGGGUGUGUCCGGAGGUGCCUGUUGUGAACUUUCAAAGGUGGAACGGUCUUCGGGCUUUCACCUUGCGUGUGCAUCCCUUUGUCUCUUCCUUUAGGCAUAGACUCCUGUAGACUUUUGCAAUUUGUAUGUAACGACCCCUCGAGGGCUGAUUAUAUACAAAAUUUUAUGAAUAAGAAUAUACCCCGUUGAUUUCUGCUUUCCUUACUUCUAUAUGCUUUUGUACCCUCUGAAGCCCUUUGGAUGCUUUCUUUUGUUUGUUGGCCGCUGAUAUCAGGCUUGGGCGCGGGCGUCCGUCCCUGUCUUCUGCUGAUCGACAUGGCUCUCUUCCGAACCCAUCAUCGUACUUCGGACCAAUCUUGGAUCGAUCUGAUAGGUCCGGGCUAUCGAGAACCUCCGAGUUGUAUGGAGAUCAUGCGUCGAAUUCUAGGGCCUUCAGGAAUGCUACCCUGGAUGAAGGUCAUCUUUGGGUAUCCAGGGGUCCCUAUUGAUCUUGAUGUAGAUAGCCCCUUUAGAAUGUAUAGGAUAGACUUCUGCUAAGGCGUUUGCCUGUAUUCAGACGCUUCCUCGGACCUUCAUGGAGCUUUCGCGAUCGGAGCUUCCUUUAUUUAUUCCUCUUUUCAGAAAGAGGGGAUCGUGAGACCAGGUACUUGCCUUGCAUCAAAUGUUGGCGUUUAAGGCUUCUCGAAGUCCAACUUCUUUGGGUCGGGGGUUCUUGACGUAGAGUGCUAUCUUAAGCUCGGAGAUAAUACGAACAGCCCCUUAAGUCUUGACUUCUCGUCAAAGGAUGCUUUCUGGAUCGGGUAUUGACCCGUCAAUCUGUAUCGAGGUUGUUGGCUUCCCAGGGCUUGCCUCAGGCAGGCAAGUCGUCACUGCUUCUCGCAUAUAUGUGGGGUGGCUUUGGCUUUUUUGCAAGACUUACUAUUUUUAGACAGCCACCUUUCUACUUUGGCACGGGGUACUUCAUCUCUUCAGGCACAAAAAGUGUUGGUGUGCGCCCUUGCUUUGACAUGUUAGUUUCACCAUAGUCAUGAAAACCAUUUCGGGGCCGAUCCGACAGGGGACAGGGGGUGUUGCUCCUGGUGCUGAGGAACUGAGGGAGUUCGCUCUGGAGACGGCGUCCUUGAUUAGAGAGGAACACCUAGAGAUGGAGAGGACAUACAGCGGGUGGAGAGAGGGGAUAACACUACAGGUGCCUUCCCCAGAUGAGGGCAUUGUGGACUCCACCGAUGGAUUCUUGAGCGUAUACCUAUACCCUUUCGCAUUUGGCCCCCCUAAUAGGGUUGUGCUUGAUUUUUGCUUGAAGUAUCGGGUUACCCUGGCACAUAUUCAUCCGUCAUUUUGGCGAACGGCGUUGAUGAUGAGGUUCUUCGUGGAGAAGGUCGGGCUUGAAUUCACGCUUGAUCACCUUGUCAGGCUAUAUCGGCCCUUCCAUCAUCGAGGCAUGCUAACUCUGAGGUGACAUUUGUCUACACCCUUUGUUAUUGAUGAUGAGGAAAGCGGGGAUCGAGAGUGGGCCAUUUGGUUUAUCCGGAUUCGAAUGACCGACAUUAUCCCUAUGGAGUUUUUGCCAUUUCCUGAAGGGUGGAAUUAUGCACGUCAGUGAGGAGUUUGGUGCUUUUUCAGGUUUCGCCUAUAGCGAAAAUCAGUUGAGUAAUAAUGUUGUCUCCCCUGUUGCAUCAACUUCGUGGAUGCCAGGUGAAGUCCAUGAUCUGCCUGGCUGGGUCCGGAAACUGGUGACCCAUUCAUUCUGCGACGAGCGCAGGUAGCAAGCCGUACUUCGUACUGGAUGGGGAGCGCAAUACCAAGGUAUGUGCG